GGAGGAACAUAUUUUUCUCUCAUGAUUUUCUUCAUAUCAAUCCAAGUGUGAGGUAUUUUGUUUUCUCUAACUAUCUCACACCACCAUGAUAAUGCAUCAAAACGAAAUUUACUACUAGCAAUUUGGACCUUACGACUAUCUAGUACAUGGAAGCAUGUGAAUUGUUCAGUUAAAGCUAGCUCCCAAUCUAUAUACGUUUCAGCAUCAUUUUUCCCCUCAAAGAAAGGUACACACAAUUUAAUUGUAUUAGAAGGAGUGUUUUGUACCGUUGCCGUGGCAUUAUCAACAAGAGACGUGGAGGAUGGCCGGGGUGAAAAGCACUCAUCGCGGUCACGGAAUAGCAUCGGUCUAGUUGCCAUGCUUCGUGUAAGUCUUGUCAUGGUUAGUAGAAAACAAGAAACAAAUCACAGUAAUAUGUUCCUAUCAACUACUAGGAUGUGGCUACAAGUCGCUCAACUCUCAAGCUAAAAAUCAAGUUCUUACGAGUUCUUACCAUGCAAAACAGGAAGGUGAUGGCCAGCGGCGUAACCAACACCUCCGGAGAUUAAAUGUAUCGAUGCCUCGGUAACAAACCAACCUAGGUGUAGAAUCUGUGGAGCUUGGAGGCUUUUGUGAGUAGCAAGGAAUAGCAAAUAAUCAAAUCAGCAAUGCAAAGUUGAAAAUAUGCUCAAUAAUGCUAGUCCUAGCUGCUGGAGUCGACAAGAACGAAUUACAGAAAUUAACUAAGCCUAGAUACUGAAAAAGGUAUAAAGGAAAGAUCAAAUGAAAGGUAAAACAAGUAAAUCUCUGGGGAAUAUUUUUUUUCUCUUUUUUUUUCUUUUUUUUUUGGCCUUCUGUUUGGCUUCUUAUUCUUUUCUAUUUUUUUUUUCUUUUUAUCCCCAGAAACUCACGCAAAAGAAGUUAAGACCGGAAAGCUGCACGUCGGUCUGUAGGAGAAUAGCAAAGGCUGUAGUAAGGAAAACUCAGAAAAAUAUGAGAAAAUAUGGGUUAGAAGCGUAUCAAAACAAGCUUUCCAACAAGUGCAAGAUCACUCGAAACGGAGGUCGGACGGUGGAGAAAACUGAGAUAUACUGCGCUGCCCCAGUGCCGUAAAACGGGUGCUGAAAUUUGGAGCUCGAAAAGUCCACCUUAGAGGACGAAUUUUAGGGUCAAAGUGCAGGGCUUUGCCCUGGAUAUUUCCUGAUGCGGUUCGUCGUGAGCUUUCCAAAAAGUCCAAGAACGUCCAAAUCCGAGUUGGUAUGCAAAAGAUACGUCCGUUUUACUGAACACGGGUCAAACCCACCCGAAACUAAAAUUCUACUCGGACUCGGGUCCGAAACUGACUCGAACUCUUUCUCUUUUUUUUUUCGUUUUUUUUUCUUUCUUUCUUCCUUUUUUUUCUUUCCCUUUUUUUUUCACAACUUUCCGAACAAUUUGAUCUCUAAACAAAAUUCGAUCUAUUAUGACACACUUUCCAAAAGCACUCUUGAUUGGACUCAGACUCGAACUCGCGGCUGAAAACUAUAACUUUCCGACUCGAUGUAGGACUCGAAGAGGGACUCGGUGUAGGACUGGAAGAAGGACUCGGUGUAGGACUUGAAGAGGGACUCGGUGUAGGACUCGAAGAGGGACUCGGUGGAAGAUAUGGUGGAGGCGGGAGAUUAUGGCGGUGGUGUGGCAGGAAGUUUGGCGGCGGAAGAUUGAUGAAGGAAACCUGCGUCACACGAAGAACAAGAAAACCAAAAGAAAGUUCGAUCUAGUAGAAAAAAUCUGAAAAACGAUCCAAUCUAAUCCAGCAACUCGACACGAUUAAUGCAGCAAAGAUUCAACAAUGCAAAUACUAAAGUGAAAAUUGCAAGGCUCAGAUUGGUUCUAGGACAAGGUAACUAAUUCUAAUUUUUGUUUGGCUUUUUCUGGACGAUAGGUAAAAACAGAUCUAAACUAGGGAUAAACUGGAAAAAUCUCACCGAGCAACCUUAAGCUCUGAUACCACGUGAUACGGGUGCGGGUGGCCCGAUCUUUCGAUGAGAUUGGUAACUCUCGAUUUGGGUAGGAGGUGACGUUGACGAUCCGACUACGGCCUAGGAGGCAGCGCCUUAUCAAUCGAUACACCAACUCCAAAGGGUUAUCGAUCACGCGGAGGCACGAUCAACCUGACCACGAAGGUCUUUGUUCCUGCAAGCAAUCGAAGAACAAGCACGAACAAGAUAAAUAGCGGAUGCAAUCUAAAAUUGCGAAUAUACUAUAUCAAACCAAUGUCUCAACGAGACGAUAAGUUGGGGUUCCGAAAGCGGUAAAACAGGUGGUCUAACCGACACACGCGAUUACACGAAGUAGUAGCGAUGGCUAACUUUUAACUAAACAAAACCCAAGGCUCCUUAGGGGGGCUCAUGGGGUAUAUAAAGGAGGAGGGAGAGAUAUUUUCGUCCACCUUGAAUAAGGAGUCCGAAAUCCAACUCUAUCUCUAACUUUCCUAACAAACUACAACUCUUUAGGAAACAGAAAAACAGAUCCGUCAGCUUGUUUUGUCCGUCACGGUCAGCACGAGUCGAAUCUCUUUAUGGAGCCAGAUCCGUUCGAAAGGUCUUGUAAUUACCUUUCCAACAAGUACUUGUUUGCUUGAUUUGGACUCCGGAUGCGGCCUGGGUGAUUAAAACAAAUUCGGGUCUCCUGGCAGCUCGGACCCGAAUCGGAUUCAACUUUAAUUCAUGAUAUCUUUCUCUAGCAAGCUCCGAAUCAUGUGCCGUUUGAUUUGUUGGAAAGUACACUUGAAAUCCUUCCCUCUCAGCUGCAUGAAUGCUUGAUUCUUGUUGGCCCUCCCGUUCGCCUCCACCGUAUCUCAUCUUGACCUUGGACUUGAAAAGCUCGACAAGAUGCCUACGUAAUAAAACGAGACAAGAUAGUAGUAACUCCGCCUCUUCAUAAGUAUGACAAUAAAAACAAUUACUACUUGAAUUCACCUGAUUAUAAAUCUUGUCAAAUAUUAUAGAAUUGAGGGUACCAAAGGUCGUAUCCAUGGUUAGCAUGUCCAUAUCAGAAAGCAUUGCAGAGCUGAUGGAUGUCAUGAAUACGACAGUGGAUGAGCUGCUGAUGGAUGCCGUGAGCACCUAUGGCAAUAUGUUGGAUGAGCUGACCAUACUGGUAAAUGUAUCACAUGAAGCAAGUAUAAAAGCGGAGGAAAAGCUGGCUGUCCUAGAAAAAAGGUUGGACGCCUUGUCCAGCAACAACUCAGACAUGGCAAACUAGCUAGCUUGUGGUGCAAGGUUGAACUGUCAAUUUGCAUGCUUGAUCGUGCGAUGCAGGUCCUCGUUGAACUGUUAUUCUGUAUGCGUGAUCGUGUGAUGGUGUUGUGCACAUAAUAAACACGGCGGCCCGAAUUGGCGCAUGGAUGAACUGUUGUGAACAACCCCUCGCAGCACCAUGGACCCACCUGUCUGAAAAAUUCGAAAUUUUUGACCACAAAUUGGCGCGUGGAUCCGUGGAUAGGUCACCGGCUCACUACCCGAAGCCCACUACUCCACAGCUCCACAAGCCACUACCCCUACCGCCUCCCUCUCAAACAGCCGAACCGACUACCCGUCUGCGCACUGCAAAUCCACCGCCAGCCGGUGAGUGUAGAGCCUUGUCCUCCGUACAUCUCGACCACACAUCCCCAGCUAUCACGUCGUCGCGGCGCUCCAGUGGCCGGCCACCCAUCCGCGCCCCCCUUCGUGUCCCUGUCCGCUAGCUUUUCCUCCUUCUUUGCGCAAGCCUUCGCGAUGAGGAACGCUUUAAGAUCUGGUUUUGUCUUUCUUGCCGCGAUUGUUUGACCGAUUCCUAUGAUCAGCUAGCUAGUUAGUGGUUGAACUGCCCCGAUCUUUUAAUUUUCAUGGGUUUGUAGUUGAUCACAUGGAUCUUACUUUCAUUGCUUCGUAGUUUAUUACUCACUCCGAUCCAUAAUAAGUGUCUAAGACUUGUUAGUACAAAAUCCGAGACACUUAUUCUGGGUCUGAGGGAGUACAUGGAUGUCGAUUUCGUAGGUUUGUAGUUUAUUACAUGGAUCUUGGUUUUGUGGGUUCUUAGUUUUUUUUUUACCAAAAACUGUGGGGGAAACCCCUACAGCAACUUUAUUAAUAAAAGGAACAACACUGUACAAGGGACAAAGGAAGAUAAAAACCUUAUCUAACUGCCUACUGUUACUAGUAUACAACAAAGAAUCUAGCAAAGCCACAAACCAAGGAACCAGCCCCGGCUUGAAUCUAUGUCUCAAGAGAUGAAAGUCAUGAAGAAAAUUGGCACGCCAGGAGCUGAAUGAAGGCAUAAUCCUAGAAAAGAUCAAACCAUUGCGUUGUUUCCAAAUGUGCCAGCAAGCAAAAGCUGCAACCUCAAUCAAGAAUGGAUGUCCAAAGGAAUUCCCCGGCUGUCGAACAACCACAUCCAAGGAAGAACCAGAUCGCCAAUCAAUUUGGAGAAAAGACCAAACUCUUUGGCUGAAAGUGCACGAGAAGAAAAGAUGUUGCCUAUCUUCUAGGAAACGACCACGGCAAAGAACACAAUGGUCAUCAUCAUCCAUCCUCCAGUGUCGUCGACGCAUCAUAUCCCUCAUAUUAAGACGAUCCACCAGUAACAAGUUUAACAUGGAUCUUGAUUUCGUGGUCCGUUCGUAGGAGUAGUUUAUUACAUGGAUCUUGAUUUCGUGGGUUCUUAGUUAUUACAUGGAUAUUGAUUUCGUGGGUUCGUACUUUAUUACAUGGAUCGUGAUUUCGUUGGUUCAUAUACUUCCAUGGAUGUUGAUUUUUAGUUGGCUCCUAUGGUGUUACAUGGAUCUUGAUUUCGUGGGUUCGUAGUUCAUUACAUACCUGAAUGUUGAUUUCGUGGGUUCGUAGUUUGUUAGAGGGAUCUUGAUUCCGGGUUCGUAUUUAGUCACAUGGAUCUUCAUAUCGUGCGUUCGUUUAUUUCCUUGCAAGAGUUACUUCUGCUUAUUCUCUGUCCUGCGACAGAAAGACGUCCUGGUCCGUUUGCCGACGCAACCCGUGGCCUCAGUUUUCCCAAUCCUCUUGAUCCAGACGAACAAACAAAUCAUAAAAAAGUUCGAUCUAAACGGGCGAGAUGCCAGGUGCUAGUUCCUCCAUCAUGUGUUGUUUCCUGGUUUGAUGGCGAAGGCUAACUAAUUGUUGUCUUGCUCGUUUGAUUGAUCGGUAUUGUUAUGUGCUUUUUACCAGGUCAGUGCUGACUCGAAAGAAAACAUUUGCCCUAACAGUGGACUAGGUGUGCUGAAGAAGCAGCAGUCACAGGACGCACCAACUCGGACACACCAAAUAUCCAGCGCCAGCAAAAGACAGAGUGAGACCGAACAACUACGUUCAAAGGUUGCAGCUAGUACCUUCGUACUCUGUCGCACCUUAUUAUAUAUUUUGCUUGAUUGCGAUUGCUGAUAAUUGUUGUUAUGCUUGCUUCACUGAUCCAUAUUUUGCUGUGUUUGUUGCAUGGGAUUCAAGACUUCCAAACAGAACAAAACGAUGGCUGAUAACCAUCAGAGUGAUGGCAGGUGGGCACUAUUUGUCGUCGACAAUGCAGAGGAACAAGAGAAUUUUGGCAUCCUUGAGUACUGAAGGACCUACCACUGAGAGUGUUAGUAAAAAGCAUUCACAUCUGGGACAACCAUUGUGUAAUUCGAGCCUUCAAGACGCAUCUGUAGUUCUUUCUACCAUGGUAUCGUGCCAUAUUUAAUACCUUCGUUUGGUUGUGGUUGCAAAUUAAUUGUUGCAAUUCUUGUUUGAUUGAUCAAUUUUUUUCCUGUGCUUCUUAGAAGCCACCGAAGCAGCCGCAAGACAAGAACAACAGUGGUUUCUCAAACAGUCUGGGCAUCUUGCCAGGAAUGAGAACCCCAGAUCAUAACGGCACAAAUCGAGAAUCGAGUAAUUCUGAAGAAGUUUCAGGUGCUGAUCCAGAUUCUGAAAUUGACCCCUUAGUGCUAAGCCUACCUGUGCGAUAUGUGCUAGAAGAGAGGAGCGCUAGACCUACCGAGGCAGUUUCAGAAAUUGACCACUUCGUUCAAGAGGAAAGGACUCCGACCUCAGCGGCUAGCUCCGAAGCCGUGGUGCUACUUCCUCCGUACCGUCGUUCCUUAUUUCAUAUAUGCUCUUUGAUUCUGCACCCGAACAGAUUGUUGUCAUGCUGCUUGCUUGUCUUGUCCAUAUUGUGUUCUUAUCAGGAGUGGAAGAAUAGGCCUAACCCGACGCAUCCACUUACCCAUCUGGGCACGAGAGGCUGACCUGUGCCAGACGACAGAAGUGGACCUACUCAGUCCAUUGUUCAAGAGCAAGUGGUUCAGACCCCUGCGGGUUGUGGUUCUACUUCCUCCAUAUUGUUGUGCCUUAUUAUAUAGUUCAGCUGUUGUCAUCCUCAGCUGGUUGGUCCAUUUUGCGUGCUCACCAGGCGUCGAUCGAGAAAAGACGAUCGGCGCAAGAGGAGAGAACUGCCAGACCUAGCAGCUCCCAUCGAUCUGACGAAAGUGAGUGCCCUACCAGUGCUUACCGCAUUUAGCCAUGUGUACCCUGAAGAGCUCACUUGCAUGUAUGUUAGUUGUUGGUGCAAUAAUGACCACGCACUGCCUGCCUGCCUUGUUUCCUAGGUAAUGAUGUUUUAGGGGAUGUCUCUACGGACAAUGAACACCCUGCGCACUUGAUGGACAAGGAUUUGGGGCUACGACAAGAGACAACUCCGUCUGGCAAUUGGCUCGAUGGCAUGUUUCUUGAGCUAAACUUUUUCUUCCAGAAUCUUUUCGCCUUUGACCAUAAUCUUCUCAACAGGUUUUUUUAUGAGCUCUUGUAUGUUACCCCGAAAUUAAUUAAUACCUCUUCUAUGUUACCCUGAAAUUAAUUAAGACCGUUAAUUUGUUUUGAUCUAAAGGCUCAGUUAAGUUGGUACUCCCCCUUACUCAAAUUUAGGAUCGUGGAGUACCCCAACGGAGUACUGAAAAAGAACGAACGAAGUAUCAGGCAUGGAUAAAAAUGUAAACAAAAAACCGUGGCUUAUCUUUCUCGCCGUUUCCUCUUCUCCGUCCGCCUCCGAGGGGCCUCCGCCGCCGUAGGCCGCCUCCCGAGGUCUCUCCGCCGCCACAGGCCGCUUCCCAAUCUCCCUCCUCCGUCGCGUCAGGUGUUGUGGCUUUCCUUCGGACGCGCGCGCGAGGCCGUGGGUGCGGCACUGACGUCGACGUUAAUUAGCGGCUGCCCGACGAACGCGAGGGAAAGGACGAGAAGACCGUGCCGAACCUGCCGCAACUGCUGGACCCGAGCCCCAGGAACACGGCCAAGAAGUGCGCCAUCUCCUGCCUCCUGUUGCUGUCGGCGAGCAAGCUAUGAAGAAGCUCCGUGAGAUGGACGUCACCGGCGUGCGGCACGAAUCCUUGAAUGGCGGCGGCAGCGCUGCGAGGAGGUCGCCGGCGCAGGAUGGGUGGGUAGCAGCGGCGGCGCGCUGCGAGAAGGGCGCCAAGGCAGGCGGCACGGGCUUGGCGGCGAGCGGCAGCAGCACGUUGCGAGGAGGGCGCUGAGGUAACGCGGCAUGGGCUGAGCGGCGAGCUGCGGCGGCGCUGUAGGAGGGCGAGGACAGCAGCGGCGAAUUGCUGCGCGGAGGGCGCCGCCGGUGCUUCAGAGGAGUGCGGGCGAUCGGGAUUCAGGAGAAAUCUGAUGCUGAGUAGUAUAUUUUUUCUUUUUUCUUUUAGUGUGAAAAGUCUGUUAUACCCCUUCUUAAUAAUCCACCUAAACUCUGUGGAGUAUCAGGUACCGGAGAAAACGUUAUAUGUAGAUUUCAAAUUUGAAGAUGCUCCCGUGCGAAGGGGAAAAAACCGUGGAGUACAACUCCACAAGUUGUACAAAUCUACUGGCACUAAGCUGCCAAUCAUAGUCCCCCCCGGGAGUUCUGGGAUUUCUUCAGUUAACACAGCUUCGAAGUUUGCAACCGAAUGCAACAUUGCGGUUAGGAACUUGAUACCAAUUUAUGUGAAUUGGAGCAAAUACAGGAAGAAGGAAUAGGUCAUCAAACUGUUUCUACACAGACUCAAUGUACAUAAACUGCUAGUCUUUGCCCCCUGUAGUCUUUAGAUAGCUGGUAAUUUUCGUGCAUUGCCAUUCUAAUGCUUGUUCUUUCAUGUCAGCAGGCAAAGUUUGCAAUUGAUACCAAGGAUGAACGGGUGAAAGCAGUCUGCAUCGAUUCUCUUAGGAAAGCUGUUAAGCGAGAGCGACACCUGCUAAAAAACUGCAGUUCGACAUCAAGUGCCCUUGUGAUGUGCCCUUGCUUAGUCCUACCUACAGCAGGAGUGACGAUAACUGGAAGAACUGGUCAAGCACUGGAAUAAACCUAACACAUUCGUCAGUUCCUUCCUGAAAUCAAAGCUGUUGUUAUCGACAUGGAUACAUAUACCUGUAGUAACUGUACCGUUCUAGCAGAGGACGUGCCAAAUCAACAAGGAGAACCGCUCAAAGGUUCAGUUUCCUCAAACAACCGGUUCGCGCGGCUAUGCAGCUGUUAUGGUUAGCUUGGUAAGUUAAUAGAUUUGUAUUAGUUGAACAGAAUGUUCUGAUCGUUUUUUAUAGAGGACAAUUAAGCGUCUUGCUUGUACGUAUAUCUUUUCAGGCAGACCAAUUCGAGGGUAAAAUACCAAAUGCUCUUGAUCUGUUCAUGCUCUGCCACAACAGCAAGCAGAAGGGCUUUUCCACAUGUGCAAAAGAUGCCAUUGUAAGACAUCUUUCAAUAUGCCCUAGGUAAAGCAAAUCGUACGCUUUCCGUGGUUAAUUACCAUGUCUAUCCAUUGAAUGCAAGGGCGACAAGGAACAAAAGCUUGUCGGACCUAGAGCAAAUGGUGAAAGCAGGAAUGCUUCCUGGGUUGUAUCGGAGGUUUUACUGAAGCGUAUAGUGAAACCUCGUUUCCUUCAGAAUGUGGGGGUUGAGCCAAAGCCCGUUCGAACCACAGCAAAGAUCCUUGCGGCAGAAGUGCACCGGAUACAGGAGGAGAAUGUUCAGCUGAGGGAUGUUUCCAACAGGCAGCACAAACAAAUAGCAGAGCUGACGAGGCUUCUCGCUGAAAACAAUAAAGCUGCACCCAGGCAUUGAAGCGAUGCACGCUGCACGGGAGGCCCAGUUUUUUGCUCGGUACAAUGAGCUCCAAAGGUACUGUGCUGCCCUGGUCGUCCGAUAGCUGAACUGUUAUUUUUGCUUGCCUGAUCGUUGGAUGGAUCAAGUGCAUGAUCGAACUGUUAUUUUGGCUGCGUAUCGUGCGAUGGGAAGCUGUGUUCGUAUGCCAUUCGCAAAAAUGGCACCUCUGUUGUCGAUGUAUUGUAUUUCUCAUGUGCUGGGGCCUGGGUGUGGUGAAGCUCAGCCUUACGUCCCUGGUGGACUGUUUUAUCUUUAGUACGAACGUAUAGGCCGUAGCUUUGUUUGGCCUCGUUAUUAUUGGGCCUUACGUGGUACCAGAAUAGAACGAAUGGCCAGAUGAACAAACCGUAAACGGCCCUGUCGACAUGGGCUGCCCCGAUACUACUGGGCUUGACAAAAAUUCAUUAAAGAGCCGGCACUUUACUCUUGGGCCUCUUAAGAAAAAUGGUAAAUGGGCCGGCCCAUUAAUCCGAGGCCUGUUGACAAACCGUAAAUAGGCCGGUCUUUACUGUUUCUCUGGAUGAAUAAUCCGUAAAUGGGCCGGCCCGUUACUACUAGGCCUCGAUUUAUGUGGGCCGGCCUAACUAGCCUUAACGGGCCUACCAAAUUCUUGGGCCUCGAGGGACACGUGUCUGUACUCGAGGAAGACACGUGGCCCAAUAGGAAACCGAAGUGCGGACCGUCAGGAUGCCGACGCGCGUCCUGUCAAGAUGCCAACACGUGUUCACUCGGCAAGAAGACACGUGUCCAAUUAGGAUGGCGACACAUGUCAAGGCAGCAAGCCCACACGUGUAGCUCGGCAACGUCGACACGUGAAACUAUGAAAAGCCGACUCGUGAACCAAUCCGAACUCGACAUGUGUCGUCCUCUGACAGGUCCGUACAUCGGACACGUGUCGUCCCUGUGGCCUACCUCGUGGCUUUGACGGUCAACACAUGUGUUAAACGUUAGAUUCACUCCUAACAAUGCUGACGUCAUCGUAUCAGUGACAGCUUGACCGGACUUAAUGGGCUGGGCGGAGCCAAGGCUUGGUAAGGAUCGAGACGGCCUAGGACCGUCAUUGAGGGCGAACUUGGUGACGGCUGGGACGUUCUGUCAUGAAGUACAAUCUAUGAGCAUGGGUCAAAGAUGUUUAGCAGGACUGUCAUAAAAUAUUUUUAGGUGACGGAUUUUUGGCCCAUUAUUACGGCUUCAGAACGUCAUAGUUUAGGUAAAUUCUUGUAGUGUUAAUGCCCUGUCUUCACUAUUCUGCUGCCCCCACCUGUAAGCCCGAGUGGAGGUUCUCGGGAGGCGCUCCACGACUCGGGCUGGGAACGUUGCGGGGACUGCAUGCCUUGACCUUGCCGGGACGGCGCUUCUCGGGUUGCUGCUGCAGGAACGUACCCUUCCAAUUCUGGAUCUUGGCUUUGACAUUGUCAAAGGUGUCAGAACUCUCAUCCUCCAAUGUGUGAUGGUCUUGCUAGUGAGUGUCUUCUCGUGGGGUCAGUUGGUUGGCCUUGCGGGAGGGGGGGGGGGGGGAGGGGGCUCACCCUACUCGGAAACUUGUCCUUGCGGGACCGUGGGCGUUGCGACCCACUCGUCCAGCAUCAGUGGGACCCCGUGGGCCACUGGUGCGACAGUUGUGUCCUCUAAAUGUAAAUUCUCGAAGUUUAAAGAUCGAUGUUGCUUUGGGAAAUCUAUAGUAAAGUUUAUGUCUGUGUUUGAGUGGAACCCAAAUGUAGAUUUGAGUCUUGUUUUUUUUUAGCCCGGAGACUCCCGGUGGGAGUGGCUCCUGAGCGUUGUCUUGGCUGGAAUUGACAUGUGAAGUGGCAGAAUGAUUUCUACCAGAUGCGCUACCAGCGCUCCCGGUGGGAGUAGCCCCCGGGUCUAGGCGUGACUGCUCGCAGUCGGGGGUAGACCCAAGUACUUUGGUCUUGCAUGUCCGGCCUUGGACUUUUGUGUGUUGAGUGCGUCUAAGACCGCACUUUAGGCUGAUUGGACGUAGUCUCUCGAGGGUUAGUUUUAAGGGUCGAUUGGACGCAGCUCCCGAGUGUCGAGGCUUAUUGGACGUAGUCUCUCGAGGGUCCCAAGUCAAGGUCGAAGGUCGACUGGACGCAGCUCCUAAGUGUCAAGUUUUAAGGGUCGAUUGGACGCAGCCCCCGAGUGUCGAGUGCGUCCAAGACCGGGUUUGGCUGUCGAUUUGGUGCAGCCCCCGAGCGUCGGGUGCGACCAAAACUGUAUUCAGAGGUCGAGUGGCCGGAGCCCCCGAGCAGCAGGUCGAGGACCUAAUGUGGGGGGAUUGGACAAAGCCCCCGAGUGUCGGGUGUAUGCAAUACCCUCAUGAGUCGAUUGAACGAGACCCAGAUUGCUGGGUAAGUUCAAGAUGGAAAAAGUAGUGACUUGGGAAUAGCCCCUGGGUGUCUCAGCUGGCGCCCAAGAUGGUAUUAUGGUCAAUUUGGACGAAGCCCCCAAGUAUCAGGCGUGUCCAAGACAAAGUAGUUGAGCUCUGAGUAGAGAAAAGUAACAGUUUUAUUAUGUACCGGAGUACACGGUAGUAAUAAGAACAAUUAGACUGUAAGACAAAUCUAGGCUAGGAGAGAUGGAGAAAACAACUAAAUAGAGAAAAAACUGUAGAGGUUUAAGCGUAGAAGCAUCGCAAUUGUGCGACGUUCCACGGCCUGUUGUAGGUGACACCGCUCUUCAUAUCUUUAUGAUAGUAUAAGCGCCGCAUGACACCACUUUGGUGACAACGUAUGGUCCUUCCCAUGGUGAUUGGAGCUUGUGGUGCCCCUUCUGUUUGAGUCGAAGGACUAAGUCACCCUCGACGAAGGAGCGGCGACGCAACCGAUGGCCGUGGUAGUUGCGUAGGCUUUGCUGGUAAACGGCUGCUCGUGCGACGGCGACGUCGCGAGCUUUGUCGAUUGCGUCGAGGGUGUCUUCCAUUGUGUGAAAUCAUAGGUGAUGUGUAACAUUGGCAAGUGUUUUAGAUGAAACAUUGAUGUGGAUACUUUGAAUAAUAUGGAUACUUAUGUGAUGACAUGUAUGUUAUGUUGGAACUUACCCUGAGUCAAGUCGUGGACUUGUGCUCGUACUUGUUAUUUGUGUGUUCGCUUUCAGGUGUUGCCGGAGCUAGAGAAACGUGGUCGAUGACGGGAUCGAGGGACGAAGCUUGGGCGAAGUUGAGGUCGAGGAUCAAGGUCAUGCGGAACGUUCGUGCGAAGGAACAAUGAAAGUGAAGGCUACGAUGAUCCGGGAGGACACUGGUUUGUCGUACGUUGUUUAUACCGGAGAUGUACGGUAUUGGAAAUAUUCGACACGUGAUGGUCGAGUUUUGAAGACAACACAAGAAGAGUUGAUGGCAUGGAGUGGUAUCAACGUGAAGACAUGUAGGUCCAGCCGUGGUUGGAUGAGAGCUGUUUAAAGAUUAAACAGUAGCGUCAUCAAAAUGGCUUUUGAUGGAAAAGUGGUCCACAUGAAAGUUGUGAGCGUCGUCGAGACGAACAAGUUUGCUUUUGGAGUCAUCUCAAUCCGAGGUCGUAUGCGGGUCCCAUGGGCAGAAUACUGACCGGGACAGAGGAGUUGAUGUUGGAUUCGGACUCGGUUUAGGAUCGCGAAUUUUUCCUUAUAAAUAGAGGACGUCUAGGCUAGGGUUUUAGCAAGGACGUGAGGGAACUCAGAGCUUUGGAUGUAGAUCAAUUCUUGGAGAGUUCUUGGAUGCAUGGUCGCAUCUUUUAUAAUCGAUCGACAUCGUUGCAAUAAAGAGAUUCAUUGGCGGUGUCAUCUCUGUUCUUCUCGGAUCUUCGUGGAUUCUUCGUGAUAGAUCUUUCUAACACUUUGCUGCAGGUUUAUCACGAGUGCAUAAUACUUUGCUUCAGGUUUAUCACGAGAUCAAGGAAACACCGCGAUUACUUCAUCUUUCUUAUUAUUUCUCAAAAUUGGUUUUAGAUUAAUCCUCGUAACUUUCUGUCAGCUGUUACUGUUUUGAUCAUAUCUUUUGAUUCAUAUGUCCGAUUGAGAUGAUUCUUGUUGUGUUGGUUAGAUAAUUUCAAUACCUGCUUUUUGCAUACUCAUACAUAAUUUUUGGUCCAGCCAAUCUAAAGUUACAUUGGAUUUACUAUCACAAACAGAUUAGGAUUUAAGGGAUUGAACUUUCAGGAAAAGUUUUAAUUUUCUUCCGCGCAAUCAUUCACCCCCCCUCUGAUUGCCUAUCUCGAUCUCACACAUUGGCAUGUCGACCUCCGGACCAGAGUAUGCCGUAACCUGAGGGGCGUUGAGCCUGACGUCAGAUGGUAGAACGGCUUCGGUGCCAUACACCAUGAAGAACAGUGUGAAUUUGGUGCAGCCGUUAGGAGUCGUACGCAGGCUCCAGAGGAUAGAGGGUAGCUGCUCAACCCACACUCCAGCUGCUCGGUGCAGGGGAGUCAUGAGUCGCUUCUUGAUGCCGACUGUGAGCAGACCAUUGGUCUUUUCGACCCGUCCGUUGGUCUGUGGAUGCGCCACAGCGGCAUAGUUGAGGCGGAUCCCCAUCUUCUCGCAGAAGUCCUGGAGCUCGUUUGAGAUGAAGUUGGAACUUUUUCUGUGAUAAUAUUGUGUGGCACCCCGAAGCGGAAUAUGAUGGAACGGAAGAAAAGCACAGCAGAUGUGCCCGUGGCGUUUGUCAUGGGGAUUGCCUCGAUCCACUUUGUGAACUUGUCGAUGGCGACAAGCAGGAAGGUAUGGCCUCCUUCUUUGGACCGGUGGAGUGGGCCAACCAUGUCGAGUCUCCACUGGGCGAAGGGCCAGGCGAGGGGAAUCAUUUUUAGCUCUGAGGCAGGCACUUGUGGCCUGGUGGCAAACAUCUGACAAGCCACGCAUCGGGUCACGAUGUCGGCGGCGUCUUGUAGUGCUGUCGGCCAGUAGAAUCUGGCUCGAAAUGCCUUUGCCGCGAUAGCAUGGCUGCUCGCGUAGUGGCCACACGUGCCUUGAUGGAUGUCGAUCAAGACCUCCCGUCCUUCCACAGGUGUGAUACACCACUGGAGAACGCCGGAGACGCUCUGCUUGUAGAGCUCGCCUUCAAUGAUGGUAAAUGCCUUAGAGCGGCGAGCAAUGCGUCGAGCUUCGGCUACGUCCUCAGGGAGUUCUCGGCGUAGCAUAAAUGCGAGGAAAGGCUGCAUCCAUGUUGGCUCGACCAUGAGCACCCCGUCCGACUCCUCCUCACCACUUGCGAUCUCUGGAUCGUUAGGUGAGUUGAGAUUAGAGGGUUCGUCAUUGCUGAUGGCUCCGUCAGUUGAUGUUGAUUGCUUUGGGGCGAUGGCGCUCUUUUCUUUUAUGGACCGUUGAUGAAUGACCUCCAAGUAUACCCCGGAUGGGACAGGAGAACGGGUCGAGCCGAGGUUGGCCAGAUUAUCAGCCUCGUCAUUGCUAUUGCGGCUGAUGUGGCACAACUUACAUCCUUCGAAUUGGCCCUCCAACAUAUUGUACAUGUCGCGGUAAGCAAUCAUGGUGUCACAGAUGGUGUCACAGGUCUUCAUCGUCUGCUGUACGAGUCACCGUAUAUCAUGAGUCGAGUGGCCCUGCAGGCUUUGGCCAUGCGCAUGGCAUGUAGGAGGGCUUCAUACUCGGCUUCAUUGUUAGAGGGGUUGCGAAAGUGCAUUUGCAGCACAUAGCAGAGCCUGUCGCCUUUCGGUGAGAUUAGCACGACGCCGGUGCCGGCUCCUUCGUGCCGCUUUGACCCGUCAAAGUACAUCGUCCAUGAGCUGGACGUGUCCAGCGGACCCGGAGUCUUGGCCUCAGUCCACUUAGCGAUGAAAUAGAGAAGCACUUGCGACUUGAUCGAUUCUCUUCGCUCGUAAGUUAUGUUACGAGGAGAGAGCUCGAUUCCCCACUCGGUGACUCGGCCUGUUGCCUCUGGGUUGUUUAGGAUGUUAGCAAGUGGGGCCUCGCUAACAACCACGACUGAGUGCUGUUGGAAGUAAUGCCUGAGUUUGCGUGCUGUCAGGAAGACCCCGUAUGCAAGCUCAUGGAAAUGAGGGUAGUGUUGAUUCGUUGGUGAGAGAACCUCAUUGUUGUAGUAGACCGGGCGCUUGACACCGUGGGUCUUACCUUCUUCGGCUCGCUCAACCACUAUAGCUGUGCUGACCACCUGAGUGGUGGCUGCGAUGUAUAGUAGGAUUUGUUCAUCUUCAUGUGGGGCGACAAGGAUCGGCGAAGUCGACAGCAGGCGUUUCAGGUAUGCGAAGGAGGCCCUGGUUUCGGGUGUCCAUGCGAAAUCAUCGUUCUUCUUUUUUUAGGAGAUGGUAGAAGGGCAAAACUUUUUCUCCUAGCCUGCCGAUGAACCAACUCAGAGCAGCAAGUCGAGCGGUGAGCUGUUGGAGCUCAUGGAUUUUGGUCGGCACCUUCAUUGUUAGGAUGGCUCUAAUCUUUGUCGUAUUCGCCUCCAUGCCUCGAGCCGAGAGGAAGUACCCCGAAAGUGCACUUGGUGGGAUUGAGCUUGAUUUUGUACUUUUCCAGGUUGAAUGUUUCUCGUAUGUCAUUGAGGAGGGUUGCUUCUUUCUUGGUUUUGAUGAUGAUGUCAUCGAUACACACCUGGACGUUGUUGCCGAGCUGAGAUUGCAUGCAGGUCUGCAUGCAACGCUGAUAGGUGGCGCCUGCAUUUUUGAGGCCGAAAGGCAUCGUCAUGUAGCAAAGGACGUCGUAAGGAGUGACAAAUGCGGUCUUUUCCUCGUCCUCGACCUUGAGUCGAAUCUGGUUGUAGCCUGAAUAGGCAUCGAGGAAAGACAGGCGCUCGCAGCCGACAGUCGAGUCGACAAUCUGGUCGAUCCGAGGCAAGGGGAAGUUUUCCUUGGGGCAGUUCUUAUUAAGUGACAUCAAGUCGACGCACAUGCGAAGGUCGUGGUGUUUUUUUUUCGAGACAAGGACGGGGUUUUCUACACAGGUCGUCUGCUUUAUCUCCCGGAUGAAUUUGGCCUCAAGGAGUCCGUUGACCUCUUCUCUGAUGGCUUUGCGUUCUGGCUGUGAGAAAUUCCGCAUGGUUGUCGCACCGGCUUGGCGUUCUCGUCGAAUUGAGUGCGUGCUCGGCGAGUUCCUUGGGAAUUCCUGGCAUGUCGGCUGGCACCCAAGAAAAGAAUUCCCAAUGCUCACAGAGGAACUCGACAAGCGUGCUUUCCUAUGCAGGAGGAAGGCUCGUUGAGAUAACGGCAGCCUUGCUAGGAUCGGUCGGGUGGAUCUGAACUUCCUUAGUAUCUGCCUUCUUGUUGUACUCGGGUUGAUGAGUCGCUUUCUUGAUGACGGGAGGUUGAUCAUGAUCGGUUGAAGUUUUGAGCUGUUCAAACUCUUCAUGCAUGCCGAAUGACUCGGAGAUUUUAUGAAACUCCUUGUCACGGCUAUCUGAACGUGUGAAGUUGCUGGAAACGCUGAUCACAUCAUUGCGCCCAAGCAUUUUUAGCUUAAGGUAAGCAUAAUGCGGGACCGCCAUGAAGCGAGCCAACGCGACUCGACUCAAGACCACGUGGUACUGGGAAGGCCAGUCGACCACUUUGAAGUCGAGUCUUUCGCGUCUAAAUAUGUCAGGCGUGCCGAACACCACAUCCAGGCUCACUUUGCCUAGUGGCGUAGGUGCUUUGCCUGGGAUGAUGCCAUGGAAAGUUGUGUCCGUGGCAGCAAGCUUCGUUGUUGAGCGAUUCAUCCCUCGCAAAGUAUCGGAGUAGAUGAUAUUGAGACUGUUGCCGCCGUCAAUAAACACUUUGCCCAUCAUGUAUCCUCCGAUCUGAGCAUCAAGCACCAAGGCUGCAUGCCCAGGUCACGGGACUCGGGGAGAGUGAUCUUCUCGGGAAAAGAUGAUUUUUGUUUCAGACCAAUUGAGGUAGUUAGGUACGGCGGGCAGUGUAGCCACGGCCAUAUGCACCUAUCGGGUUGUCAACUUCUAGACCCGAUUGGUUGGCUUGCCCUUCUGGAUCAUGCAUAUGUGACCUGCUGGAGCUAGAUAGCUAUCGACAGUGGCGGGUGACGAUUCCGAUGUGGGCUGUGCUCGACUCACUGCUUCAGCGAAGUUAGCUUGAAGUGGAGGAGGUGGCGGAGCACCAACGGCUACGGUCCUAGGCAUGGGAAGGCGGUGGCACCAUGUCGACUCUGUUGUUCGUAUACUGGUGUGGGCCAGGUAGUUGAGGAUAGCCAACAUACGCAGUCGAUUGUUGGGUUCGUGCGAACUCGUGCUGCAACUCCUUGAAGCGUUUGCAGUCCAUCAGCGGGUGGCUGGGCUUGAUGUUGCCUUGCUCGUCCCUGUAGACGUGAAAAGGGCAAGGAGCCGCCAGCUGUUGGGAGAGUGAAGGCUGGCCUCCCUUGCGCUGCCACUGUGGUUUGUGUCCGCGAAAGUCACCGCUGCGGCUUCUCUCUCCUUGUGAGGUGGCUGCGAUGAACUCAGGUAACGUGGGUUCCUCAAACGUGCGACCCUUGCACUUUUUUCUGCGCUCGAAGCCGCGGUCUCUAUCGUUGUCUGGAGUUUGAUGACACUCGUUGCGGACCGAGUCUUCACCGUCGACCCACCGAUUGGCAAUCUCCAUCAGAUAGUUGAUGGUUGCGUGUCGGACGCGACCCAGUUCUUCCUUAAGAUCGACUCGACAAAGCCCUCGCUUGAGCAUCGAUGGCACUCUCAUCAGAGACUUCCUUGGAGGCGUGUUUGGUGUUGGUCCAACGCUGAAUAUACGAGCGAAUGGAUUCCCCCUCGCGUUUAGUGCAGGCUCGGAGCUGCUCAAGGGAUAUCGGGCGUUUAUACGUAGCUUUGAAGUUACGAGUGAAGGCCUGGACCAGUUCGUCCCACAAGGUGAUUUCUCCGUCGUGUAGGCUAUUCAACCAGGUGCGUGCUAGGCCCUUGAGUUGGAGUUGAAGGCACUGCAUGGCAAUAGUCCGUGACCCGCCCUGGCAGCGAAUCCCAGUGAGAUAAUCUUCGAGCCAGGUCCUGGGCUCCUGAGUGCCAUCGUAUUUGGCCAGAUCAGCAGGUGGCUUGAGAUUUCUCAGCAUCCUGGUUCGGCGAAUACGACGGCUGAAGCAUGGUGCUCCGCAAGUUUUGGUCUUGAUCCGAUUCGGGAGAGUACUCACGGUGGUUUCUCUGCUGAGUAUGAUCGUGAUUGUCGACUCGACGGGAGACCCACUUCUCCCUUGAGGGUUGGCAUCACGCUCGUUACGCCCCAAGGUAGGUGAACGGCGAUCGCACUGGGUUUUUCAGUCAGCAUGGGGUGGAGUCUGGUCCCAAGAUGGUCUUUGAUUGGCUAGCUCCUGGCCGACGUAGGAGGCUCCUGCCUUGUUCAAUUCUUCUAGAAUCUGCUUGUGGAUGCGUGAAUGGAGGAUGGGCGGUGAAGUGGAAGGAGCCGAAGGUCAUCAACUCCGCCUGAGUCGACAACUUGUCGUCUGGAGAUGGAACCGCUGAGGUCGUGUCUCCAACACACGUCCUUCCCACAGACGGCGCCAAUGACGUAGGGGUGACUUCGACAAUGUCCAUAUUGCUGGACUUGUAUCUAGGAAAGUUUCAAGUGUAUGUGUUGGCGAUCUCGUCGGCUAACAAGGACACAGGGGACACGAUUUACCCAGGUUCGGGGCCCUCGGAAGGUAAUAUCCCUACGCCCUGCUUGUCUAGAUUGUACUGAUGAGUCGAUUACAAGGGAGCUGCGGGGGCUAGAUGCACAGAUUCGAUUUGUCGAGUGCGUCUAGGCGGCUUCUAUGCUAGAUUGGUUGAUCUUGGCUCCCCCUUUUGGUCCCUUCAUAUAUGCAGGAGACCAGGUCACAGGUAGAGGCCAAGUCAAAUACAUUGUUGAAAUAUACUAUGUUUAGACUUCUUUGUCUUGAGCCCCAAGUUGAGCAUAUGGACUGCUAGAGUUGUAGUAGGCUUCCUUGUGGGCCCCAACUGGGCCGUGAUGGGUAUACUCGAGUCGAGUACGUGGUUAGUCAUAACCACGUCGGCAAGUGGGUCCACCAGGUUGGACGGACUGACAAUACGGGCCCACGCGUGAACGGGGUGGACACGUGGGAGUAGUUCGUAAGAACACAUGCGGUCGGGUCUGAUAGGCGGGCUAAGUCGUCUGGAGCAAAUAACGCACGUGCUCGUAAAACAAGGUAAAAGCCUGACAUGCGGGGUCGCCUGGAGAUGUAGCGGCGGCUCUGCACACACGGUAGCAUGUGGUGAGGACGCGCGUCCUUCCGUACCUUGCAUGCGGGCCCCACGUCUGACACGAGGUGCCUGAUCGUCACUUGUAUGAACUGGAUCGUAAGAACUCAGCCCAAUAAGGGGUGCUGUAGCUCGAUGCGUCCCGCGAAUCUCGAUUGGAGACGGAAAGAGCGGCUCUGACAGCAUAUUCCCGAGGCCUUUCCGACCAUCCGAGACCAAAUCGAGAGGAUUUCUUAUUUUAGGUGACAGUCUACUAGAACGCCACCGUGAGAACAUCAUAAUUCAACCAAAUUCUUGUAGUGAACUCAUGUUGCCUGUUUCUCGCGAAGGAGACAAUAUGAUGUUUAGGCAUUUUCACGCUCAUAUUAAGGACGAAACACACCCUGUCUACUCUUCCAGGGACAGUUAUGUGCUUGCUUCAACUAUGCUUCAUGAUGUUUGCUUCUCGGGAUGGAGGCAUUGUGUUUGCUUAGAUUAUUGUCCAGCAUCAUGCUGCAUGCAUAUGAUUUUCUCUAGCCUGGUUGCUUUGUUUGUAUUCUUUAGAUGAAUACAUCCUAUACAGAUAGCCUCUCUUUGGUAAAUUUGCUGAAUACAUGGUCAUUCUUAUGUACCAUAGUAUAUCUUGAGGCCAUUAUCAUUUGCAUACCAUCAUGCUAUUGUCUUUGUUUCAAAUUUGGCAAACCAUUGAAGCUGAAGGAUGUCAUUCUACUAAAACAAAUCUCAGUUCACCAGAUCUUGGUCUAUCGUGUGCAAUUUGCAAAGCUGUUGCAUUUCAGUUUUACCCUCAUCCAUAUUGAGCAAUGUUUAUCAUUUUGCUUGAGAACAAGCAAUGGUUUAAGUGUGGGGGUAUGGUCAAGGUAAUAUUUGCAUGAUAUUUGCCCCACUUAAUUGACCUUUUGGUAUCAUUUUAAUCUCAUUUUGCCUCAAAUCUGAAUGAUAUAAGUAUAAUAUUUGAUCAGAUGAGCAAAAUCACACCAUAUGUAAUAUUUUUUGCAGAUCAGUGCAUUAAGGCACACUUUCUCCUAAUUUUGGACAAGCUGCAAAUGAAGCUUUAUUCUUGAGGACCUGUAUGUAAAGGAAACAAGGAGGCAAGGGCUCAUGUGAAGAUGAAAAGGACCAACUUGUGGGAGAGAAAGAAAAGGAGAAGGGCCGGAAUGCAAAUAUGCCACAGGGGGUUAAAUCCCUGGCUCCUCGCUUCGUGCAAAUCUGAAUGCUAUAAGUAUAAUAUUUCUUCCCCUGCCCCCUGCUGCUGCUCCACCACCGGCCGCCGCCGCGGCAAGGCCGGCGUGGCGGCGAGCAACCGAACCUGCUGCUGCCCUUCCUCCACUCCACAGGACAGCAGGCUAUGCACUUCAUCAUCUAUAACUUCUGCAGCUCCUCCAAGCCCGACCUGCAGCAGCGAACGACGCCAUCGGCAAGCACGAAAAGACAACCUGCAGCUUCUUCCCCUUCUCCAACUUGUGCUGCCCCUUCUCCUUGGGUGAAUCCCCAUCAAAAUCUCUCUCCCUUUCCCCCCUGUUUGCUUGCUGUUUGUAUGAACUGAAAGUGAGAACUUGUGUUGAUUUUGUGCGCCUACAAGCCGUUUGUUUAAAUGUCAGUGAGAAACCUUAUCAAUUGUUGAGUUGUUCUACUGUGAUAUUUGUGAGCUAUGUAAUUAUAUUUUGUCCUGAGAUUUGUCUGUGAUAUCUACUAGUCUGUGAUUUAAUUUUCUGUAAUAAUAUACAUGUUGCUGCCCUGUUAUGAACUCUCUCCCAUACCUAAAUAAUUUGCUUCUAUCCCUGUCCUAUAUGUUUGCUCGUGAGAUUACUUGUUGUCCCGGUUAAUUGUCUAUAAAUCUGCCCCUGUAUUUGUUGUUUGCUUGUGCUAGUGUUUUAAUUAUCUAAAGUAAAACGAAAAUCACAAAAACAUUGUUUAAGUGCUGCCUAUAUUUCGGUUUGCUUCAUCCCCCUUUGAUUGAUUCACCUAGAUUUAGUCCUAACUCGAUUGUUGAUAGCCUACUCCCUCCGGAGAAAAUGACAACCUGCAGUUUCGGAGGAAUUCUCACUACUGUUUUACACUAGAUCAUCUGUAUUGAUGAGUCGAUUACCAGGAUGCCGUCGAGGCAUAUGCUCAGAUUGGAUCCGGCGAGUGCGUCUAGGCGGCUUCUAUGCAAGAUUAGGUGACCUUGGCUCCGCCUCCUGGUCCCCUUGUAUAUGCAGGAGACCAGAUCUCGGGUCGAGUCCAAGUCGAUUACAUCAUAGAGAUAUACUAUGUUUAAACUUCUUUGUCUUGAGCCGCAAGGUUGGGCAUAUGGACUCCUGGAGUCGUAGUACGCUUCCUCAUGGGCCCCAGCUGGGUCAUGAUGGGUAUACUCGAGUCGAGUACGUGGUUAGUCAUAACCACGUCACCGACCGCGUGCUUCACUCUCUGGAACGAGGAGUGUCCGCCUCCAUCUCCAUGGCUGCUGGCUGAGCGAGGUUUAUAUUAGUCUCAGGAGAAAGCGAUAUGUAGGAGGGAUCGAGGGUGGUCUGGUUUGUGCCUGUGCCCUCGGAAAAGGGGUGUUGUUCGCGAUUAUGAGGUGUGCUUUUGUGUGUCCCUUGGACUGUCCCGGUUAACGCGCGGGGUGGGAAUCUGCUCGUGUCCCUUCCGGUUACCAUGUGAGGCGCGACUUGUGAGGCCGUUUGUUUCUCGAGAACGGGGAUCCAAGGGCGUGUCAGACGUCGUUCUGUUUCUUUUCGAUGCAUGUGUGCCCGAUGUUGUUUCUUUGAACUGGCCAGUGCCGGUGCGUGUGCCAUUUGUUGCAGAUGAUAGUUCUCGCAGGAAUGACUGCUUCCUCCAUCCAUGGAUGGAUGGUCCUUUGGGUUUAGGCUUGCCCAUGAAAGAAUGUGCAUUUUUCUUUCCAGAGCACUUUAUCCUGGGGUCAAACACGGUUACAUCCCUCUGUGCACCUCGCUUGUUGGUGGUGGGAAAAUUGAGGAGGAAGCCGUCUGGUUGACACCUUCUUGAUGCACUUACUGUCUUGCUUUUUGAUUUUCAUGGAAUUUUCUUGUCUGCGCUUGUUUGUAGACCGAGGGAGUGUGGCUGACUGUUGAUGGGGGGUCAUACGCGCAAGGGUGCCUUUCAUGGGGCAGGUGGGCGCGAGCGGUCUUGUCUCCCGGGGGCUCAUGACGAGACACGGAGAGAGCACGCCUCCACGCCACCCUGAAAUUGAACCCCGGAGCAACAACCGUGCUUGCACAUGAGGUAAAAUACAACGGACCACCCAACCCGUGCCGGGAGCAACACGUUCUAUGUAGGCGCGUAGAAUAGCUAAGUGCUCGGAGCGUCGCCUAUUAAAACUCUUUCGUUCAGACGCUAAUCGAAUUGCACCUAGAGGCAGUUGUAACACAUUUUGAUAUGAGUUUUGUCGAUGGCCUUGGAACUUUUCAAAAUUCCCUGACAAAAAGCAUACAAAAAUAUAUAUCAAGCGAGCAUGACAAUGAUUUGUUUGCUUCGGCAAUCAAACAAUGCAGACAUAAUAAAGCAUGUUGAGAUGGGAUGAACUAUCACCUUGAUCUUAGGUUUGGAGAUAGGAGGUCGGUUCUGACAAAACUUAGAGCCCCUUCUACGAUACACAAUCAAACUUGGAUUGCUACCCAGCACAUUAUCCACCCUCUGAACAUGACAACAAUUAGAUUUCUUUCAGUCAGACAACACAUGCAGUAAAUAAUAAGGAAUGAAACGAUGGGAAGAACAAUCACCUCCCUUACCAAGUGAUCAGAGCCCCUUUUGGCAUCCUUUUCUUCAGAAAUUACCCGUGCGCCUGCAGGCAACAUUGAUACGGGUGCGGGUGGCCCGAUCUUUCGAUGAGAUUGAUAACUCUCGAUUUGGGUAGGAGGUGACGUUGACGAUCCGACUACGGCCUAGCAGGCAGCGCCUUAGCAAUAGAUACACCAACUCCAAAGGGUUAUUGAUCACGCGGGGGCACGAUCAACCUGACCACGAAGGUCUUUGUUCCUGCAAGCAAUCAAAGAACAAGCAAGAACAAGAUAAAUAGCGGAUGCAAUCUAAAAUUGCGAAUAUACUAUAUCAAACCAAUGUCUCAACGAGACGAUAAGUUGGGGUUCCGAAAGCGGUAAAACAGGUGGUCUAACCGACACACGCGAUUACACGAAGUAGUAGCGAUGGCUAACUUUUAACUAAACAAAACCCAAGGCUCCAUAGGGGGGCUCAUGGGGUAUAAAUAGGAGGAGGGAGAGAUAUUUUCGUCCACCUUGAGUAAGGAGGCCGAAAUCCAACUCUAUCUCUAACUUCCCUAACAAACUACAACUCUUUAGGAAACAGAAAAACAGAUCCGUCAGCUUGUUUUGUCCGCCACGGUCAGCACGAGUGGAAUCUCUUGAUGGGGCCAGAUCCGUUGGAAAGGUCUUGUAAUUACCUUUCCAACAAGUACUUGUUUGCUUGAUUUGGACUCCGGAUGCGGCCUGGGUGAUUAAAACAAAUUCGGGUCUCCUGACAGCUCGGACCCGAAUCGGAUUCAACUUUAAUUCGUGAUAUCUUUCUCUAGCAAGCUCCGAAUCAUGUGCCGUUUGAUUUGUUGGAAAGUACACUUGAUAGACUUCACUUUGAAUCUCCCUUUGCAGGCUAUAACACUUCAUCUUCACUUUGGACUUGUAAAGUUCAAUAAGAUGCCUAAAUAAUAAGAUUACACAAGAUAGUAGCUCCGCCUCUUUGCAAGUAACAUAUUGAAAACAUUUUGUAAUUGAAUUCACCUGAUUAUAAUUAUUAGAGACACCAACAAUUAGGGUUCUAAUGGUCGUAUCCAUGGUUAGCAUGUCCAUAUCAAACAUCAUAUGUCAGAACGCGGCCACGAUGUGGCCGACUGGCGGUGGUGUAGGGCAGAUAACGUUGUGUCGAGUUGGUGACAGAUGAGGAUGUGUGGUCGAGAUGCACCAGUGGCGGAGCCAGGAUUUCAGAGAUGGGUAUGCAAAGGUUUUUCUCCGACAAAGAACAAGUCGAUGAGAGAGUGUAUACAUAAUGUACUAAAAAUAUUGGUCUUAAUUGAGUUCUGGCUCAAUUUAUCGGUUACAUUCAUAUCUAGGUUGAGGUGUGCCACUAUGUAUAGGUACAUGAUUGAUGGUUAGACACAUAAAUUUAAAAAAUCAUGAUUAAAAUCGCCUUAGGUAUAGUGAGAAUGUCAAGAGCUUGGAGAUAGUUAGUUACAUCACAUUGGUGAGCCAUGCAUAUAAAUAUAGUUGGAAUUGAAGCAGAGGCUGACACGUACAUGUUACUCAUACACAUGUAUGCUAAGUAGCAAGUACUAGUAGUAACAAACUUUUUGCCAAAAAAUCUGGGUAUGCCAUACCCAGGCAUUAGCCUGGCUCCGCCCAUGGAUGCAUGGAUGGCGAAGCGCUAACAGGGAGGGACACGGGUGGGGGUGGAUGUGGCCGGCGGAGCAGAGGGGGAAGUGGAUGGCGGGCGGUGGCUCUCUCAGAGGGCGGACGGCAAAGGACACAGAACUAGAUUCCUUGGAGACUCGGAGAAGGAGUACUUUAUGGUAUAAUGGACAUUUCGCAGUUCAAAAUUUUUCACUAUCCCGCCACUUCGCGCGUCAGAUUUUGGAAAAAUUUCGGCAGAAGAACCGAGAUUGUUAGGAGAUGGACAUAAACGAGCUACAUUUACAAUAAAAAAAAUCAUUGACGGGUGGGGCCGGGUCAACAAGUCAGUGACUUAAGUCAAGGGAUCCCUGUCCCACAAGAUUUGUUGAGCAGAGAGAAGGAUUAAUAGGAGAUCAGUUAAGUACUGUACCAGCUACUCCAUUAUUGCGAGAGGCGACGAGCGCUUCCGGCUGGGCUCUGGUGGUGGCGGCCCAAGAAACUGAACCGCUGAACAAAACACAGGCCUGCAAGACUUCUUCCUCUCACACCGCACGAUAUGAUUAGGUAGUACUCCAUGCUACAAUUACAUGUUUAGAUGGGUAUACACAAUAAUUCCAAAUACAGUGGAAGAUGUGGAUACACUAAUCAUAUGACCGGGAUUGGAGGGAAUGAGGGGAAGGCAGAUUCGAAACAAAAGAGCAAGCUUGCUGCUGAUGCUAUCCUGGUUGAAUGCCACCUUGUUGGGAGUAAUCUCAGGCUCGGGUUCAGGCUCUGAGAGAAAGUGGUUCUUCCCCUUUGACAAAGGAGGAGUUGUAGCCCAAAACAUCUUCAUAACACACCAAGCUCCAUUGCUCCAGGUCUUCCCUUAUUGUGCAGUGUUACGGAAAUUAUCUAAUAUAAAUAAAGGAAAUAGUUAGAAUAUAUGCUCAAUAAUAAUCUGAGUUCAGAAAGAUGAUGGCACAAUUUUCAAUCAACAUGAUCAAACUUUACGAUGUUUGAAGCACAAAAUUAGAACACGUCAUAUAUUUAGCAAUGGCGGCAACUCUAACACAAGGAUUUUCAUACCUUGGAGGCAGCGGGGGAUCCGGGUCGUCGUCCUCCGUCCCGGCCAAAACCGAAACGGAUCCGCCGCUGGUGAAUCUAUGUCCCAUGAGAGAUGGGACAGAGGAUCCCUGCGCGUAGGCACCGCCGAGAACUCCUCCUACCGUACCGCACGCGUAUCGGCUUGUCCUCUCUUAAUUGCCGACGAGCCCUACACGGCUGGAUGCUCAAACUUUCAGCGAGAGUCAGGCAAAAAUCGUCCAGAUGGGAAGAAAUAGAGCUAGGUUUCUGAUUUUCUCAGCGGGCUUUACGGCAGUACCGAGGUAAAGACCAGCGUCAAGUGAUGACCGAACAGGUCACUGGCAAAAUGGGAUCGCCCAGUGUAGGGUAAACAUGUCAAUUUUUUAUUACGCACGGUUCCCAAAUAUAUACUCCAUGGUUGGUGAACCGAUGCGCAUCGUUUUAUUGCACCUUGCUCGGCACGAUUCAAGUCCACUCAGAAACGGAGCCGUGGUCAGUACUACUCAUCAGUAGUCACACCUAAAGAGGGGACAUAGCUGCCAGUAGAUGUUCACCGAGCCGUCGUAUCAACGUGUGCUUACACGCAACAACACUUUACAGAGACAGAUAGGAGCCGGGGGAUCGAGGUAGACCUAGCCACUGUUAAUGGGUGGAGCAAGGGCCGACCAAUGUGGGCUGUGCUAGGAAACUUCCAAGCGAAGGAACCCUUCCAGGAAGGGGUUCCUUUGCUUGGAAAUUCCUUCGCUUGGAAUUUAUGGGACCCACAAACCGAAUAAAAAAUAAAAUCCUGGGAUCAUUCCAACCUUCCCCAUUUCACUGGUUCCUGGGCCCCACCAAAGUCAACAAAAGUUAGAACUGGAUCAAGUGAAUCAAUUCCUCAAAAAAUUUCUUUUAGCUGGCACCCAUGCAAUGGCUAGAAGCGGUGCUCACGAGUGUGCGACUCCAAUGCUGGCACUCUACGUACUUCAAUGGUUUGCGCUUUCGGCAAACCAGGGGUUUCAGGGGAGAACAAUUUGUAAUAAUGAGAUGGUUAGGGGAAUAUUCCGUUGAGGAAGCAAAUGGUACCGUUACAAUUUGUCAGUUUCAUGCAACUAGGAACUAAACAUCAGAAAUUGGGGAGGACGAGGACACCUUGGGUCGUUUGGAGGCUCACAUGAGCUCAACCAGCGACGGCAAUGCCCGAGGAACCGGCACGUUCAUGGACCUAUACAGAUUCCUCACCUUGGCAUGGAGAACAUUUGAAAGCGAAGUACCUGGUCUGUCAGUGCCAAGGCCUUCAGAUUUGUUGCCGUUUCCAAUUAGAACAGUACAGUCCUCUGAAAGAGCUUCUUCUAUGGCUUCUAUUUUAUCUCCUUUGCCAACUUCCCUGACUUUGAAUCUAGCUCCCCAUGAUGGUCCCACGCCCUCAGGCCAUUUUGUAUUCUUCCCAGGUUUAGCACCGUAUUCAACUUCACGUUCAGCUAUGCUUUUUGCUUGCGCGCCAUCAGUGGAUUCACCGUUCACCAACAAAACAAAUUAUUUUGCCAGAUCAUGCACCUCUUUUGGUGCAACCUGAUCGAAACCAAUGACAUCGAUGGCGCCCUAGCUAGAGUUCGCAUCCUUCCAUAGCUCCAAAGAUUCUGUGCCGGAAUUCUUUUCUUCGGCUUCAAAAUUAAGUUCUGCCACACAAACACUCUCAUACUCAACUUUCGAGAAUUCACAAUAUUCAGGUAAUCCAAGCCUUGCUCUCCCAAACAGUGUUAAUGCUGGCGCCACUUCAAUUUCAGAAUCCUCUAUUGCUCGUUCUCCAGCCUGUAAUACCUGAGUGUAGUCAGCUAAACUAGUGCCUUCUUCCUCACUCCCCUUGAUCGCUUCUACUACGGGUUGGACCGCCUGCGGUGAGCCGGUGACAGUAGAAUUUCCGUCGGUUAUUCUGAGCAACUUCCAUAUGGGAUCAUUGUGGCCUAGUCGGGAUAGGAGGCAAUGUUUCUUGACAUAGGCUAGAUCCAUGGCAAGGCAAGGAGGCGUCGUCGAGAUAAACCAUUUAGGCUGCAGGAACUGCAGGGCCUUGUCCAGCUCGUCGCGAGACGAGUGCAUUGAAAAGCACACGUGCACACCCCGAAUUCAUCCCUCAUGGGCUCCGUUAGCGACAGCUUCUUAUUUGGCGAUGCCUCCUGUUGCACGUGUCGUACAUACCAUUGCGAAGAAGACUGAUGAUGAGAGGCUCCGGCUGCUGCUUUGCCCGUGCCAGUGCGAGCAUCUCCACAGCCUGCUCUGACAACCUGGGGAAUGCAAUCACCUGAAAGCGAGAGGAUGCAUGAUCUGUGAUGAUCUCUGGUGCUACGAGAGAGAGGGUGUGGUAGCACUAUGAACUCUUGUCCUUGUCAACGUAAAUCUUUGACCCAAACGCCCUCGACACCUCGAUCAGUAUCUCCUCCUGCCCCAGCAUGUCGGACACGAGAUACACCGUCGGUGCGUUAGGGUGCUUCUAGAUGCAAUUUAUCACCUGGAAAAAAUAUAUAUAAUACAUCAGAGCUGACAACGUUGGUCACAAGAGCUCAAUUGUUUUUGCAUACAUUGGAGACGCCCUUAGAACUAGAUUAAGCGGCACACAGACCUGGCGUAUGGAAGCCUCUUUGGCAGGGAACUGCAGCGGGCACCUAGAGAACGUGCAAUCUAGGAACAAGUAGUCGAUGCGGCAAGAAUGUAGCGCCUGCCUUUCCCAGAUCGCGCGGCAUUGAUGUACCGUAGGGGCAAGCCCUCAAUGCAGUCAGGCGUGAGGCGGCAGUCGCCGGUGUGAAGAACGUUGCCAAAGCCGCCCUCGAACAAGAAAAUCACAGUGCCUGCAGGUGCGCACCAGCGGUAUUAGACAAUUUUAGAAUCCGUACGUGGUGAUGUCAUUGAUGGAGGAAUUGACGGGACGGGGAAUAAGAAUGAUUAACCAGGGCAGUGGUUCGCCGUCGAAGGCCGUGACGGUGAUGUCGCCGUCGGGGUCCUCGACAAGCACCGGUGCUCCCAGCUCCAGCUCCAGGAACGCGUCCGGUCCAAGCUUGGAGGGGAAAUUUUAUAACACAAACAUGGAGAUGAGAUGAAAACAAAUAAAUUAGAAAUUGACACAUAGGUUGGUGAUUACUUGCGAAAAGAUGUAGCGGUCGAUGAGGACCGUUAGGUGCGAGGCGUAGACGGCGGUGACCCCGGCGAGGUGGUCGCAGUUGGCGUGGGUGAGGAAGUGGUGGCGCUUGAGGGCGGAGGCGGGCGUCCACGUGUCCACAGCGAUAGGCAACCCUCUAGGCAGCUCGAUCGGCCUCGUCUCUUUCUCCUCUGCUCCCUUGACCCAACGACGCCGGCCACGGGGGCUAGCCCCCUACUUUCCUCGCUGUUUUUAUUUGCGGUCGGAACAGGGAAGCACUUUACCGCGCCAUCCAAAUCUUUUGAAUUUUUAGCACGAAAUGUGGGCAUACUUCAUGACUAGGGCUCAGUUUGGCAUUGCUGAACUGUGCUGCGCUGAACUUAUUUUUUAUCUGCUGGCGAAAAAUACACACGAAAUUAGUGAAAAGAUGGUUAGCCAAACAAGAAAUUAGUGAAAAGCGGUCGAAAAAAUCAGGAUUAUGACAAGGGUCCACCGCAAUGCCAAACGAAGCCUAAGCCUUUCACCAAGAACUACUCCCUUAUUGUUGGACUAAGCCUUUGACCAAGAAUUACAUCCCACGAUGGCGACUAGGAUGCGUUGCCCUGCUGACGGAUCUCCAGGCCUUGCCGUCCUAGUCGUCCUCACGCCCCUGGAUCUGGUAGCACCGUAUCAUCUUCUGGCCAGCGGUUUGUUGGUCCUGUGACUCCCCGCCGGAGAGAAACUUUAUAGGGAUGUAGCGAAGUUUGAUCGACAUCUUGACCUUCGGCUCGUUGGCAACACUGGCGACAUGACACAGCCAUGAAAUCGCCCAGUAAUCUUGAACCAUAUGCUCGUCCUCGCCGGCCUCAACGGAGACGGGCGACGGGAUGGCACUUCCUACGGGCGCCGAGAGGGGAGCGAGGCCGCAGGACAUCGAAAGAGGGCCACCGCCUCGGCUCCCUUGCAGGGUAGUGUUGGUGAUGACGGGGUUGUAGGACGCAAGGGGCGCCGAGAAGGGCGCGAGGUCGCAGGACAUCGAAAGCGCACCGCCGCCUAUGUUGCCUUGCAGGGUCGUGUCUAAGAUGACGGGGUCGUAGGACGCGGGGGGUGCUGGGAGGGGAGCCAAGCCAUAGGACAGCAAAAGCGCGGCGCCUCCUACGCUGCCUUCCAGGGUAGUGUCGGUGAUGAUGGGGUCGUAGGACAUGGGGGGCACCCGGAGGGGAGCGGGGUCGAUGGACCAUGAAAGCGCGCCAACGCCUCCGCUGCCUUGCAGGGAAGUGUCGGUGAUGACAGGGUUGGUGGACGCGGGGGGCGCCGGGAGAAGCUGCGCCGAGCCGGACUUGGCGCGUGUUACCAGGACCUUGCCCCGCCACUUGGGGCGGAGGAGCAUGAGUUGGUACGAAGGCGGGGCACGCCGUCGACGGUUGCCGCACUCGCCUGUUCACGGCCAUGAUGGCGGUUCCGCCUGCUGCAGCAGCCCGCGGAUGGUCUCCCCGUGGGUCUUGUGUCCCAGGUUGCUAGUGAGAUGGGCAACCCUCUCCGAGUAGGGCGAUUUCAUGCGGACGCGCAGCCGGCGGCCCUCCACCCUGGUGUGACGGUCGCGCUUCCCCGCAGCCAUCACCUCGUCUAAGAACUGGGUCUCCUCAUUCAGAUCCGUCGAUACCAUGCUAUGUCGGUGUGAGAGAAUCACAACGCAGAUCGAAGAGUAGAUCAAUCGGCCACGGCGGCUCUUGUGCGAGGAAGACGAGCAAGGGGUGGGUGCAUUGACUGCGAGAUGGGCUAGAAGAAAGGAGGAGUACGCGCCUAUAUAAGGACAUGCCAAUGAAUGGCAUGCAUCUCCUCUGACAUACGGCUGCUGCCAUGGGCUGGCUGACGGGAGGCCCUGGCCCCACGUGUCAUCCAUAGCACCGUAUAUCAGGGGAUCCUCCUCCCAAUGAAUGGCACACGGCCACACACUGGGUGCGGAUGGAGCUCAACCAUGUCCGCACGGACCGCACCCACCGGACCCAAAUUCGUGCCUGGAUUCAUACCAUACGUACCGCCAGGCCGUGACCAAGGGGAAACCCAUCUUUUUAUCCGGGCCGUUGCAUCCUCAAAAACCUUUUUCAGGAUCAUGAAACAACAAAAAAUCUUCGUUUCAACAACCAUGCAUGUACAUGUAACAUUUGCAAUCAUGCAUCUGCCCCAAACUGACAACGAGUAUCUGCAAGUGUUCCCAAAAUAGACUGGAUAAAACCAGUCACGCACUAGUAGUUUGCAAGAUGAUAUGAUCUGCAAGAUCAGAAGUGAAUGUGUGACACGCAAACAACCAAAGCUGAUCAGGUGAAAGAGGAACUCUGCGAAGGGCUGGCUCCUCCAGUCCUCUAGGGGUACGUGGCCAGCGUCGGCUAACUCUCCACCAACUGUUUCGCCUAAUCUCGAAUUCGGAGCCCUCUACCUUUGAUACAAUAGUUUCUUGGGAUGCCCGAUCUUCACGGUAGAACAAAGAUAACUUGACAAGCCUGAUGAACCAAUUAAAUACCAACAACACACACAAAAAUGGGAGAUCCCUCCACACCAGGUUUGGCAAUUCCUUGUGUAAGAAUCGAAGAGUGUUUCUUCGAUUGGAAGACAAAAUUCGGAAUGCUCCACUUUCUGUUUCUCCUUGCCCAUAUUUCCGUGUCCAAGAGUUUCACAAGUGAUGACAAAGGGAUUGUGUUCUGUAAGGAUGCAUUGUUGUUCCUAAUCAUCAAGGUAUAAGAGAUUUGUUUCUCAAAGAUGCUCAUGGGACUCCUCUCGCUUUUCACCAAGUUGCACUAAAAUCAGGACAUUAGUCUUGGUAUAUGCACCAUGUGGUCAAUCUUUUCUUCGUGUUACUUUGUUGCGAGGUGCACAUCGUUCAGGUAUCAAGGACAAGUUCGCUCCGCGAUACAUUCACCUUUUCAAGUUUCUUGUUUGCUUCAACCUUCCUCCAACCUCUCUAAGAUACACGUUGUUUUUCACGUGUCCUAUGCUCUGCUUCGCUUCUGUAUCUAUUCCUUGAGCUUCCUAUCAGGAGCGUUUGGUUCACAUCCUUCGUGAAGUUGAAUGUCGCUCUUCGACAAGACCGUCAAGUUCUUCAAGGACGAAGCAUCGCAAUGUGAAGACCAUCGUUGGACCGAGUAUUCCACUUCCUUCCUUUCCUUCUUUUGGAAUCUCGGGACGCGAUUCCUUUGAGUGGGGGAGAGUUGUAACAGACCCUUUUCCUUUUAAGCCCUUUUGGACUGUUUUGUAAUUUAUUUGUUAUCAUCAUGUUGUCAUGUUCAUGUCAUCAUCAACAUUUGGCCAUGUCAUUAGCAUCAUGUCCCAUUGAAAUCAAAUUCUUUUGCAUAAAGCUGCCGUUCCAUGUGCUUGUCUUUUGUUGUGUUUGUAAAAGCCUGAAAUUAUUUUAUAGAAAUCUUAAUUUGAGUUUGAGAAAUUAUUUUCGGGUUUAGUUAGACCUAGCCACUCGUCUCUUAACUUAUUGCGAAAAGCUAAAUUUGCAAAACCUGUAUUUUGUUUGAGGUUUUUGUUGGCCCAAAAGCCCACUAAACCAAACCCUAACUCCUAGCCUACAAAGCUAGCUCCCUUCCUCUUCUUUUCUUCUCUCCCUCUUUUCCUCCUGGCCGCCGCCGCCAGCACUUCUUCUCCCCUUCUUUUCUUCUUCCUCCCGUGCGCUCCCUCUCCCUGAUAUGGACAUGCUAACCAUGGAUACGACCUUUGGUACCCUCAAUUCUAUAAUAUUUGACAAGAUUUAUGAUCAGGUGAAUUCAAGUAGUAAUUGUUUUCAUUGUCAUACUUAUGAAGAGGCGGAGCUACUACUAUCUUGUCUCGUUUUAUUACGUAGGCAUCUUGUCGAGCUUUUCAAGUCCAAGGUCAAGAUGAGAUACGGUGGAGGCGAACGGGAGGGCCAACAAGAAUCAAGCAUUCAUACAGAUGAGAGGGAAGGAUUUCAAGUGUACUUUCCAACAAAUCAAACGGCACAUGAUUCGGAGCUUGCUAGAGAAAAAUAUCACGAAUUAAAGUUGAAUCCGAUUCGGGUCCGAGCUGCCAGGAGACCCGAAUUUGUUUUAAUCACCAGGCCGCAUCCGGAGUCCAAAUCAAGCAAACAAGUACUUGUUGGAAAGGUAAUUACAAGACCUUUCCAACGGAUCUGGCCCCAUCAAGAGAUUCGACUCGUGCUGACCGUGACGGACAAAACAAGCUGACGGAUCUGUUUUUCUGUUUUCCUAAAGAGUUGUAGUUUGUUAGGAAAGUUAGAGAUAGAGUUGGAUUUCGGACUCCUUAUUCAAGGUGGACGAAAAUAUCUCCCCUCCUCCUUUAUAUACCCCAUGAGCCCUCCUAAGGAGCCUUGGGUUUUGUUUAGUUAAAAGUUAGCCAUCGCUACUACUUCGUGUAAUCGCGUGUGUCGGUUAGACCACCUGUUUUACCGCUUUCGGAACCCCAAGUUAUCGUCUCGUUGAGACAUUGGUUUGAUAUAGUAUACUCGCAAUUUUAGAUUGCAUCUGCUAUUUAUCUUGUUCUUGCUUGUUCUUCGAUUGCUUGCAGGAACAAAGACCUUCGUGGUCAGGUUGAUCGUGCCCCCGCGUGAUCAAUAACCCUCUGGAGUUGGUGUAUCGAUUGCUAAGGCGCUGCCUCCUAGGCCGUAGUCGGAUCGUCAACGUCACCUCCUACCCAAAUCGAGAGUUAUCAAUCUCAUCGAAAGAUCGGGCCACCCGCACCGGCCCGAUCUUUAAUUCGUGAUAUCUUUCUCAAGCAAGCUCCGAAUCAUGUGCCGUUUGAUUUGUUGGAAAGUAGACUUGAUAGGCUUCACUUUGAAUCUACCUUUGCAGGUUAUAACACUUCAGCUUCACUUUGGACUUGUAAAGUUCAAUAAGAUGCCUACAUAAUAAGAUUACACAAGAUAGUAGCUCCGCCUCUUUGCAAGUAACAUAUUGAAAACAUUUUGUAAUUGAAUUCACCUGAUUAUAAUUAUUUGAGACACCAACAAUUAGGGUUCUAAUGGUCGUAUCCAUGGUUAGCAUGUCCAUAUCAGAGGGGGUGAUAUGAGGAUUGUGUUGUUUGGUGUUUAGUUGUCGCACCAGUGGCACCCGGGGUACCACCGCUGAGCGACGCGUGGCCCCUUCCCCCGGGUUCCCGGGAAGGUCUCAUCCCGGGGAGCGCCAACGAGCUUCCUGGCAAGCUACCAGCCCGAAAUGGGCUAGCGGGGCUUCCAGGAAUAUUCCCAAUUAGGAGCUUCCCGGGAGGAGGUUCCCGGGCGCGCUGGGCCCGGGUGCUUCCCGGGCUGACUUGCGGGGACUGGAGGCUCCCGGACGCGUGCCCCCGCCUCGGAUCGUGGGGCCCACUGGACAGCGCCACACGGGCGCGUGGCGGGCGCGGAACGCGCGGUCCCACCAAGGCAAGGAGCAAGGUGCGCGGCUGAGUAAACGAGCCGACCGACGGGUAAUUACCCGUCGGGUCGAAGGAACAGUGGUUGUCCAAUCCUAUCCUAGGGUCUUAGGCCCCUAGCAGCCAGGGAGAGUCGCAUGCCUCCCCGUUGGACACUUGUAGCCCAUGCACCGUGGCACAUGUGGCAUCCCCUUGUGUAUAAAAUGAGGACCCAUGCCAACGGUCUAGGGUAGAAGAGGGGUUUUGACAGGGAGAGGGUGGACGGGUUAGUCGGUUGGUCAGUUAGUUGGUUCGGACGAAGCUCGCUCGAUAGAUGCUUAGUAGCUCUAGUAGGCAGCCGGCAGAGAGUGGUGAGGAGUGCCUAGCCACUGAGAAAAAGCCCGGGAGCUUGCCUGGCAACCGGUAAACAUUUGAUCCGUAAUCAAUAUCAGCUCAGACAGGCAGGAUGUAGGGUUUUACACCUCCGGGUGGCCCGAACCUGGGUAAAAAUCGUGCGUACGUCUGUUCAUGGACUAGCGCGUACCCCUAGCACUUUGCCUCGCCGGCCCAGUAGGGCCUCGUCGGCCGUGCCGGCGAUCAUCUGGUCUCCACCCCAGACGCCCCUACCGAACCUGAAAGGGGGACGUGGCUGCACGCCCCCGGUGUCGGAGCACCGAGCGACGACAUCGGGCGCGCCAGGUAGGGGGCGCGGGAGUGGACGGCGCCGGAGAUCGCCGGCAGCGGAAGUUCCCGUCGGCAUCGGCUUCACUCUUCUUCGUCGACGAGCCUUGUCACCAUGCCCACCAAGCGGGCUGGUGAUUCACGCAUAGACCCGCGUGAGGCCCCAGCGGCGCACACGCAGUCGCACGACGUGCGACCCGAAUCGGGAGCUCAAGAGAAUCCCGAGCCCUCGAGGGUGCAGCAAACGCAGCUACCUCCACCGCCUCCCCGACCGUCGACCGACAAUCGGCCGAGGGGACCGGCUGCCCCCAGCGCUGGGGGCAGUCGGGCGAGCACGCAUGGCGUCGCCCGGGCCAGACAACGGGUGGAGACGCGACCCGAGGAUGCCCCGCGGCAGCGGCACCCGGGGCACGCUGCGUCCCGCCCCCUGGAGGUUCGCACCCUGCACGCCCGGAGGCGUCUGGGGCCAGGGCGGGAAGCAGCCGUUCAGGAAAUCGGUUGCCCCCCGUGCGAACCCCGGCUGAAGCCAUCGUCGCCGCGCGCGUCAUGGUGCGGUACGAGCCGCAGCAGGGCACGCCGGCGCACGAGACGUGGGGCGAGGAGUUGGAAGCGCGUCUCGCCCUGGCCACCCAACAGCCGCAAGGCGAGGGUGCCCCGGUAGGGUCCGGCCACGGGCCGAACUCAGAGCGCGAAGGCGCGCCGCCCGCCUCACGACAGGGGUAGAACCCUCCCCCUUCUCAGCGGGGCCUGGUAGACGGGAGCCCGGAGGGAUCCUCGAAUUCAUCGCCCACCGUCCUAGGGGGCGAUGCGCGUGGCAUCUUGAAUGCCUGACAAUAGGGGGAUCUACGCCGGCGCUUGGAGCGCCGGCGCAGGCACGAGGUGGAGCGCCGGCACCCACUAGAGCAAGAAGAUGCUCCCCUGGGCCCAGAAGACGGCUGCACUGAGUUCGCGCGCGAGUUGCGGCGGGUGGUGUGGCCCCGUAAGUUCCGAGCGCCUGCGCUCGGUACGUACGACGGGACCGCUAACCCCAAAGAUUUUCUCCUGACCUAUACGCUGGGCAUGCAUGCCAUCGGCGCCGACGACAAGGUCAGGGCGAACUGGUUCCCGAUGGUCCUGAAGGGAUCAGCGCGAACCUGGUUGCUCAACCUGCCCGCCGGAUCCGUCGCCACCUGGGCAGACCUGCGCGAGCAGUUCGUGAGCGCGUUCUAGGGCGGCUAUAAGCGCCCAGGAACCAUGGCGGAGCUGCACACCAUCGUGCAAAAACCGGGAGAGACGUUGCGGGCCUUCGUCAACCGCUUCUCCAAUCUCUCCUAUUCUAUCCCGGAGGCGGAGGCGGCCGCCAUCAUAAACACCUUCGCCAUCAACGUCCGCGAUCCCAAGAUGCGUGAGAAGCCGAGCACGCAUCGGAUCCGGACGACGCAGGACUUGUCCGCCUUGGCGCACUUGUGCGCCAUGGCCGAGGAGGGGCGCCUAGCGCCCGAGCUGGCAGGCCAGGCUGCCGCGACCCCGGAGCGGAUCCGAGGCCGGCCGGUGGGGGUGCCGGCUGGGUCGAAUCCCAAGGAGGGCGCAGCCAGCCCCUCGCUGUGCGGGAACGCCCUCCUCACGGGCGCGACAGGGUGCGCGCCGAGGAGCAACGCGAGUCCGACCGUUCCGGCGGCGACGAGCCAGGCUUCCGGGAGCCUCCUGGCGUCGCCUGUAUCCAUGGGGGAUCUUACGCUCUCCCAUCCCACACCGCGGUGAAGCGCCUCACCCGCGACGUGUGCGCGCUGUUGCCGGAUGCGGAGCCGCAACAGCCGCUGAGGUGGUCGCACGUGCCGAUCACCUUCAACGCCGACGACCACCCGGUGCGACAAUUGGGUUCCGGAGUAAUACCCUUCGUCGUCUCGCCGAUCAUUAGCAACAUGACGGUGACCAAGGUCCUGGUGGACAACGGAGCGGGGCUUAACCUCCUGUCCGCCAGGCUGGUGGAAAAGCUCCAGCUGCCGAUCGAGCAGCUGAAGCCCACCGAACCAUUUCGAGGGGUGAACCCCGGGAUCGUGCGCCCGCUGGGACGCAUCACGCUGCCGGUCACCUUCGGGUCCCGGGAAGCAUUCAGGACCGAGCACAUAGUAUUCGAUGUGGCGCAUACCCCGUUGCCCUACAACGGGAUCCUUGGCUGUCCGGCGCUGAUCAAGUUUAUGGCGGCUACGCAUUGCGCCUACGGCGUGAUGAAGAUCCCGUCCGUUUACGGAGUCCUCUCCAUCGGGUGCGAUCUCAAAGACGCUGCUUGGUGCGUUGGUGAGGUCGUCCGGGCCGCUGCUGCAGCUGACGCCGGCGACGAAGUUGUUGUCAAGGACGACGCCCUGCCGGGUGACGCCCCGGCAACGAAGAAAGCCCGCGCCACCCCGCAAGGGCUAGCCGGAGGAGGUGCGGGCUUGAGCGCGCGUCCCGACAAGGGGCGGGGGCUCCGGGAGGAGGCCGCAUAAGUGAAGAAGCUGCCCCUCCAAGCCGGCGACAAGGAGCGCACCGUUACCGUUCGUGCGAACCUGACCGCCGAAUAGGAAAGCGCCCUCGUCACCUUCCUCCGAGAAAAUGCCGACGUGUUUGCCUGGGAACCGUCGAACCUUCCCGGAGUCCCCAGGGAGGUGAUUGAGCAUCGGCUCGCGGUGCGCCCGGACGCACACCCCGUCAAGCAGAAGAUCCGGCGGCAGGCACAAGAGCGGAAAGAUUUCAUCAAGCAAGAGGUGGACAAGCUCAGGGCUGCUGGGGCGAUCAGGGAAGUUUUGUACCCCACUUGGCUGGCUAACCCUGUAGUGGUGCCCAAAGCGGGGAAUAAGCUUCGCAUGUGCGUGGAUUUUACCGAUCUUAAUCGGGCAUGCCCCAAGGAUCCCUUCCCUGUACCCCGUAUCGACCAGAUAGUUGAUUCUACCGCUGGUUGUGACCUGUUGAGUUUUUUGGAUGCUUUCUCCGGCUACCAUCAAAUCAAGAUGGCGGUCGAGGAUGAGGAAAAGACAGCGUUUAUCACCCCGGUUGGCUGCUACUGCUAUACAUGCAUGCCUUUCGGGUUGAAGAACGCGGGCUCCACAUUCCAGUGCGCCCUGCGAGAAUGUUUGGGGCCCCAGCUAGGCCGCAACACGGAGGCCUACAUGGAUGACAUCGUCAUCAAAUCGAAGCGUAGGGACUCCCUGAUUGAUGACCUGCGGGAGACAUUUGACAACCUCCGCAAGAUCAAGCUCAGGCUGAACCCGGAUAAGUGCACCUUCGGUGUCAACUCCGGGCAGCUUCUGGGUUUCUUGGUUUCACACCGGGGGAUACAGGCAACCCCACCAAAAUAGAAGCCAUCGAGAAGAUGGAGUCCCCCCACAAGGUGAAAGAUGUCCAGCGCCUCAACGGCUGCGUUGCCGCGCUUGGACGCUUCAUCUCCAAGCUGGGCGAGCGUGCCCUGCCUUUCUUCCGGGUAAUGAAGAAGAAGGGUCCAGUCGGCUGGACUGUCAAGGCCGAGGCGGCGCUCCAGGAACUCAAGCGAUACCUGAGGUCACCGCCCAUCCUCGUCGCCCCCAAGUUGGGCGAGCUGCUGCUACUCUACCUAGCGGCGACUGACCAGGUGGUCAGCUCGGUGCUGGUUGCCGAGAGGGAGGAAGACGUCCCGGGGAUUGGGGCUGCAGGGCAGGUGGCUGAGCAGCCUCCGGCAACCACCUCAAGCCCAGGGACCACCCCAGAGCCGGCAUCCUCGGCGCCGCGGAAGCGGUUGGUGCAGCGACCGGUGUACUUCGUCAGUACGGUGUUGCGCGACGCGCGGACAAGAUACCCGCAAGUACAGAAGCUCCUUCUGGGGAUUCUCCUUGCGUCCCGCAAGUUGCGCCACUACUUCCAGGCGCACCGCGUCACGGUGGUGUCCGGGUUCUGCCUCGGGAAGACCCUCACCAACCGUGAAGCCACCGGGAGAGUGGCCGAAUGGAGAAUGGAGCUGUCGGAGUUCGACCUCCACUUCACCAACUCCAAAGCAUCAAGAGCACGGCCCUGGUGGACUUCGUCGCGGAGUGGACGUCCACGGGCGUAGAAGAAAGUGAGUCGGAGACCAGCCUUCCCGGCAAGCUGGACGAGGGCCCCUGGGUCCUCUACUUCGACGGUGUGUUCAGUCUCCAGGGAGCGGGAGCCGGGGUCGUCAUCGAGUCACCCACAGGGGACCAGCCGCGGUUCGCCGUCCAACUCGACUUCGCUAACUCCACCAACAACACGGCGGAUUACGAAGGCCUGCUUGCCGGGCUGCGGGCUGCGGUCGCCCUCGACAUUAAGCGCCUGGUUGUUCGCGGCGAUUCCCAGCUUGUGAUCAACCAGGUGAAUAAGGACUACGAUUGCCCUCAAAUGGCGCUGUACGUGGAAGAGGUCCGCAAGCUGGAACGGAAGUUCAUGGGUUUGCGCUUCGAACACGUCAAGCAGAAGGACAACUUCGCUGCGGAUGAGCUGGCCAAGAUGGCAGCAGAGCGCCGGAAGCCUCCGGCGGGGGUGUUCUGUCAGAAGCAACUGGCUCCUUCAGUCACCCCCCAGACGGCUGCCGGGGACGCCCCUCCGGCAACCAAGGGAACCCCUGCAGCAGCAGGGGUCCAUGCCGCUGAUAUGGCGGCAUGCACGGGCAGAUAAAUUCCUCCCUGGGCGGAAGAGAUCGCCCGCUAUUUGAAAUGGGAGGCUCUCCCGGAGGAUGACGUCGUCGCGGAGCGCGUAGCGCGGCGAGCCAAGAUGUACACCGUGAUAGACGGCAGCGUCUACCGCAGGCGUGCGAAUGGUGUAAAACUCCUCUGCGUGCCGCAGGAGGAAGGGUGUGCACUGUUGGAGGACAUACAUCGAGGCACAUGUUCACACCAUGUGGCCUCCCGGGCUUUAGCCGGCAAGGCUUUCCGGCAUGGUUUUUACUAGCCCACGGCCCUGGCCAACGCAGAGCGGAUGGUGAGGACGUGCGAAGCGUGCCAGUUCCACUCGAAUAAGAGCAACCAACCAGCCCAGGCCCUGCAUGACAUCCCGUCCUCAUGGCCGUUCGCGGUCUGGGGACUAGACAUCGUCGGCAAGCUACCAAGGGCGGUUGGCGGUUACGAAUACUUGUUUGUGGCCGUCGACAAGUUCUCCAAAUGGGUGGAGGUGGAACCAGUGCGCAAGGUGACCGCCCAGGCGGCCAUCAAGUUCCUUAAGGGCAUUGUGUGCUGGUUCGGGGUUCCCAACAGCAUCAUCACCGAUAACGGCACGCAAUUCACGAGCGCAGCGUUUCGCGCCUACUGUGAAGACAUGGGCACUAAGUUGCGCUUCGCGUCCGUCGCUCACCCGAGGAGCAACGGACAGGCGGAGCGAGCCAACGCAGAGGUUCUGCGGGGGCUCAAGACGAGAACCUUUGACAAGCUCAAAGGCCACGGGAAGCACUGGAUCGAAGAACUCCAGCCCGUGCUGUGGUCCGUCCGGACCACACCUAGUCGGGCAACGGGCGAAACUCCUUUCGCCCUUGUCUACGGGGCAGAAGCGGUGCUGCCCCUCGAGCUCAAGUACGGAUCUCCCCGAGUACGCGCGUACGGCGACGCCAGCCAACACGAGCAAAGGGUCGACGAUCUAAACUUCAUCGAAGAGCUUCGGUGCCGGGCUGCUGUGCGAGCCGCGCGCUACCAGCAGGGACUCCGUCGUUAUCACGACAGACGAGUCCGUCCCCGGGGGCUCGAGAGCGGAGACCUUGUCCUGCGUCAGAUACAAGGAACGAAGGCCGGGAACAAGUUGACUCCGAAAUGGGAGGGCCCCUUCCGGGUAGUGCAGGUGACCAGGCUGGGGGCUGUCCGCCUGGAAACCGAAGACGGCUUGCCGGUGCCCGAUAGCUGGAAUAUUGAACACUUGCGCAAGUUCUACCCGUGAAGCGGCGGAGCCCGACCCUCAGGUGAUGCCUCCGAUGCAUACCUCUCGAACUAGUGUAACCGGACAGCCCCCGUGUGUAAACCACUAGUUAACUGUGAAUAAAGAGAGGUGUUUCACCCCUGAGCUUUGUUCUUGCCUUGUUCAUUCGCUUGUUUUCCCCCUCUUGCCUCCUGCUUUAAAUGCAGAAGCAGAAGAGAUGAGAUUUAUCUGAUUUACCUGUGUUACUUGUUUUCAUAAGUUUCAAAAAAAUUUCAGCACCUCGGAUCUGGUAAGAGUCUAACCUACAGGAAAGGGAGGAAUCUUGUACACUGUGGUGCCCGUGAGCUGCCUACGGGACGCACCAUACACCGGUGCCUUGUGGUGCGGGAGGACCGCAACACAAGGGGUUCACCGCACUCCGAGGCUUCUGGGUUGUCGGCUGGCCACCACGUGUGCCGUGGUUACCCGGUAAGCAUGGCGGCGGAAACUGCGCCGCGUUCGGGGAAAAGGCGCCACGGUGCCGCGCGGAUCCGUCGCGCGCGGUGGCAAGCCCCCCCCCCCCCCUGUGUCUAUAAAAGGCGCGCCCCAACCACGGAAUUGCUCAGAGCGAAGCCGGGUUCAGGGCCGUGAAAGCAGGUGGUGCGACGGAGGCGCGGAGGUGGUGCUUCCCGCCGGCGCCUAGCGCCGGCGGAUGCGCCGCCCUCGCGCCCCUGCCGCACCACCCCAUCGAGCCCACCCCGAGGGGCGCCGCAGAGGCACGGGGGUAGUGCGUGCCAUCGGCGUCCCAUGCCGACAGGUGCACUGCCGUUGUGCCCCUGUUGCGCUUCGUCAGAGGGGCGGUUCCGGGGCGAGGGUCGCCGCAGAGGCACUGUGGCGGUGCGUCCCGUCCGCGUCCGGCGCCGACGGGGUGCAUUGCCACAGUGCCCUUGUCGUCCCCCUCCGUAGGACACCUCCGCAAGGAGCAGGGUCGACCGCGGAGACUCUACGGUAGUGUGUGCCAUCCGUGCCUUGUGCCGGCGGGUGCACUACCACAGAGACCCGGCCGCAUUCCCUUUGAGUUGAGCUCGGCCUCGUGCUGAGUCGCCGCUCUCGCCGCGCCCUCGGCGGUCUUGACCUGCACCUCCAGCAGGACGCGGAGGCCUUCGAUCUCGCCACGGUAGUUGGCGAUCAGCUCGCUCUUCUCGUCGAGCCGCGCCUGGGCCGUCGCGAGCACCUCGGCAUGUUCCUUUCGGGAAGCUUCUAGGGUUGCCGCCAUUGCGUCGAGCCUACCUUGGAGCUCCGUGCGCUCGACCUCCAGUUGCCGACGGAGCUCGGUCUCCGGGACUACCGGCUCCCGAGCAGCCUCCAGGGCUUGCCGGGCCAGCCGCGCCUCCUCUUCGGCGAGGCGCGUCUCCUCGCGCAGCCGGGAGAGUUCGCGCCGCUCUCUCUCGACGGCCUCCCGCACCUUGCCGAGUUGAUUCUUGGCGGCGGUGUGGCGCUCCCUCACCUCGUUGUAGGAGGUGACGAAGGCGAACUGCUGGUCCCGGACGGCGUCCAGGAACCGGUGCCCCUGCUCGAAGAUGCUCGGAUCUCAGGUAAGAAGAUUCCAAGCGACCCCGGCGAGGGUGCCGAGGUCGGUGCCGGGGGGAGCCCCCGAGGAUGACGAAGCCCCAGCCGCGGAAGUGGAGCUGGGCGCGGGGUCGCCAACUUGCUCCCGGGGGUCUUGCCGUCCUUCCCCUACAACUUCCCCCGCGCCCAGGGAGAGUCGCAUGCCUCCCCGUUGGACACUUGUAGCCCAUGCACCGUGGCACAUGUGGCAUCCCCUUGUGUAUAAAAGGAGGACCCAUGCCAACGGUCUAGGGAAGAAGAGGGGUUUUGACAGGGAGAGGGUGGACGGGUUAGUCGGUUGGUCAGUUAGUUGGUUCGAACGAAGCUCGCUCGAUAGAUGCUUAGUAGCUCUAGUAGGCAGCCGGCAGAGAGUGGUGAGGAGUGGCUAGCCACUGAGAAAAAGCCCGGGAGCUUGCCUGGCAACCGGUAAACAUUUGAUCCGUAAUCAAUAUCAGCUCAGACAGGCAGGACGUAGGGUUUUACACCUCCGGGUGGCCCGAACCUGGGUAAAAAUCGUGCGUACGUCUGUUCAUGGACUAGCGCGUACCCCUAGCACUUUGCCUCGCCGGCCCAGUAGGGCCUCGUCGGCCGUGCCGGCGAUCAUCUGGUCUCCACCCCAGACGCCCCUACCGAACCUGAAAGGGGGACGUGGCUGCACGCCCCCGGUGUCGGAGCACCGAGCGACGACAUUAGUAAAUAGGUUAAUCACCUCACUUAGUAGACGCUUCUUAUCCACUACUUAGACGAUGUCAUUAGUGUGUCUCUCCAGAUAUAUUGUUGCCGCUGCAAACCCCACCGUAUCCCUCCAUUGAGACUUGUUGCAUAAUUAGAUUAGUUCUCCCCGUAAGUCUUGCGAGUACUUUGUACUCAGUUGCUUUGCAACGUUGUUUUCUUCAGAGGUUCCAGCAUAGCAGGUGAGCCGCUAGCUUCUUCAUGGAGCACGACGUUGGAUUCGAUGUUUAGCCAAGAGAUCCAGAUCAGGGUUCUGAGACUCGUUGCGGGUUUCCUUCCAGCUUCCAGCCUCUUCAGGCCAUGCUGUAUUCUUGUCUGUACUCGGGCAUAGUUCGACUUCCGCUGAUGUAAUGAUGUAAUGUUGGGACAUGUGUCCUCUCUUUAUAAUAAUUGUUAUUCUGCUCCUUGUAUGAGCUUUGUAAUUACUCUCUUCUAUAGAGUUUUGGUGAUGAUAUUUAUGUUGCAAAAUCCUACGAUGAGCACAUUAAUGUGUGUAUGUAUUGAGGUGUUUAUCGUAGGUUAAGAACCUGAGGCUUGAAUUAUGCAAAGGUUAGCAAUUUGGGGCUAAAUUGUAUAAUUCCGGUCCCGAGGUCUUACACUCUGCGGCUCGGGAAGGGCGGCGGCGGCUCGGACUCCGGCGAGGCGAGGCGGCGACUGUAACAUCCCAAAAUUUUAAAACCUUUUCAUAUGCAUUGCACUCAUGAGCAUCAUGCCACAAUUGCAUUUUGAAUCUUGUUUUGAAUUCCAAAAAGGCUUUGAAUAGAUUUAUUUCAUUUUAAACCUUGGCCUUUUACCCAAUUGAGUUUUGGAUUUUAAACCAAUAGGGUGUUGUUCAUAAAAGGGGUUUAUUGCAUAAAUGAGCUACCCCAUAUUUUUGUUAUUUAAUUUGGAGUUGAAAAACUAUUUUAUUUAAUUAGUUUUGAAGCCCUAAAGGCAUUAUACACGUUGUGCCGAUUCCAGAAAGGUGCGGAACACAAUUUUUGGACAAACGGUUUGAAAGAUAUGAGGCUUUGAAGUAAUAGGGUCUUUUCUGCAAAAGUGCAUUUUCUAAUUUGGCCGAAUUAAAAUAAAACGAAACCUUUGCCACGUGGCAGAACGCGAGUGGCGGGACCCUAGGGUUUCUGGUCGGCGGCCGGCGGCGCGCGGGGUGGCCGGAGGCGGCGGCGGGCUCACGGGGCGGCGCGGCGCGGGUUGCGCGAGGCAGCACGACGGGGCGCCGGCGCGGGGCAGUACGGACGCGGCGGCGGCGGUCAAACUUGAAGGCGAGCGCGUCACGGCAUUCACGUAGGAGAGAGUAAGAAGGUGAGAGGGUCGGCGCGGGCGGAAGCUCACCGGAACAACGACAAAACGCGAAGAACGGCGACGUCCGUGAAGAACUUCGGCGAGAAAUUAAAUCUUAACCGAUGCGAAAUUGGACGUGGGGUUUGGGGGAAGUGGUAGAGGAGUUCGGGGGCUUCGAUAUGACGCAUGGGGUUUCGGAUUUGGUGGUUCGUGCGCGGAGAAAUCGGAACGGAAUCGUGGGUGACUUGGAGUCGUUCGUGGCCGGGCUUCUCGGGCAGACGGUUGGAGAAGAAGAUGAUCGCGGGUCCCACUGGUCAGUGAGAGCGGGCCGGCCGGUUCGGUCCGGUUUGACCGGUUUGGUUCGGUUUUUCUUUUCUUUUAUCUAUUUUCUGUUUUUGAACCUCAAAAUUGAUUCAAAGCUCCAAAUCACUCCAAAUAAAAUGCAACAAAAUUUGUAAAAUCAUAUUUUCAUACGAUCUAACUUUUGGAACAAUAAUUUGCUCAAAAUAAAAUAUUUAAAAAAAAUACAUUUGCCUAUAAAAUGGCUUUUAGGGCCCUUAGGCUAUCGAAACAAAUUAUUUUUCAAAAUACUUUCAAAAGCCAAUUUAUGGGAUACCUCUAUAUAUGCAUAAAAUCCCUUUUUACCACAAUACCCUCAUGGGUUAAAACGCAAAUACCCAAGAGCAAGAUCAAAGCCCAAAAUCAAACAAAAGCAUUUUUGCAAAAGGGUUUUCUGGGCAAACUUUAGGGUUUUGAAAGUGAUCAGAUGCAAGGGUGACAUGAUGCUUAUGAUAUGCAAUGCAUAUGAAGAGUUUUGAAAAUUAGAAUGUUACAGAACUUUACCUUUCUGGAAACCUUAGAACGUGUAGAAUCUUUUGGCACUGUUUAAAUUUAAACUUGAUUAUCGGAAUCUGGACAUAUUUACAGAAUGUUGUUUAAUGCCAUUUAAUUCGUAUCUUUUGUUUUAAAAAUCUUUUUGACUUGAAACCAGUGCCCAAAAAUUUGGUUUAAUGUUCUAUGUUCAUUGGGACAGAGAAAUAAAAUAUGAUUUAAUUAGUUGGCUGUUGCCAAUAAAACCUUGUUUUAGGGUUUUAAUCUUUUGUUUUUGUAUCUUGCAAUUAAUCUAGUGUAAUAAAUCUUUAUUGCUAAUGCUUUUGGACCACAAGCAUAACCUUGUUAUUUAUCCAAAUAAAACCAUCCAAAUCAUGCCACAUGUUUUGCAUUGCAUCAUGGCAUGUUUUAUUUUGCUUGUAUUGUAUGUUUAUGUAUGCAUUGUUGCGUGUUUAUUUUAGUUUACUUGGAGAGCGAACCGUGCAAUUGUGACGAGUGUCUAAACUCCAACUGCUAUCAAGGCAAGUUCACUUUGACCAUGAUCCUAUUAUUUUAUUAUGCACUAGAUUUAUUAGUUGCAUUGUUAGGAUUAUUAUUGUACCUAUGCUAGCUAUGAUUCUCCUAGUAGUAUAGGAUACCCUUGCCAUGCCCUUACCACCAAUUGCCAUCGUAGGUAGUCAAAUGCUAUGCUAUGUUAGUAUUCGAGGGUGGUAUUAUUACAAUGUGAUAUUAUUGUCAUUAUGGAGUAAAGUUAUGAUUUUCUAGUGUAUGGCAAACAAACUAAUGUAAUGAACCAUCUUGGGUGGUCUGCUUUGAGUAUUUGAGAUGUAUGCGACGUCAGGUCCAUUUCUAUAAGUCGUCUCGCCAUGUCUAUGGGAGCGCCGGCGUCGCAAAUGUGGGAUGCCACCCGGGGUAACCAGAGACUAGACUAGUUUCCUAUUUAGUAGCUUCCAGUACAACCACGUGCUAAUAUGGGCUCUGUCUUGAUGGAGUAAGACAUAUGAUCCUGGAUCCGAGGUGACAUCGGUAUGUAGUAGUGUAGGUCGGAACGCAUCCCUCAGGUGGUCUGGGUGAUUAUGGUGUGAAGAUUCUCGUAAUCGAUGCUGUUGCUACUCUACUCUGAGGACAGCAAGGGAUUAACACGUCGAUUUCUUGUGGGGAAUGUGUACAAUCUCUCGAGAGUGUCAAACUAAGUACUUAGCCGUGCCCCCGGUUACGGACAAUUAUGAGCGACUAGAUUUGGGAGCUGUAAGGAAAGUCUCACUCACUCUAAUGUCUUAAUAAAAUGAAUGGUUUGAACCUGGGUAGGAUCAUUGAUGUGUCUACUCAAUGUCCUUUAGAUUAAUAGGAGCAUGGGUGUGUCUACCCCGUGUCCAAUAGUGAUAAAACUAUUUGUUUAAAAAUGAUAGGAUGAAACAUUGAUUCUUUUAUGCAAUUAGCCAAACCCCACCUAACCAAAAUAUGCAUGUACUUGGUAGGUUCUUUUAUAACCUCUGGUGAACUUGCCAAUACAUUCAAUGUAUUGACCACGUCGUGGCUGCAAUUAACAAUGCAGGUGGAUCAGACGACGAGUGAGGUUCGUUGUUGUUUAAUUGGGUCAUGUGCUUACAUUCCAACAUGCUCUCACCUUGGAGUAGUUGUGGCUCAUUUGCUUCUACCUUUCCGCUGCUUGGUUUUGAAAACUCUAUUUUGAUAUGCUGACCCAAGAGGUCAUGCAAGGUUGUAAGUACUCUUAAAUUCUGGAUGAAUGCGAUGUAAUAAAGUACUUUGACCUUUGUAUCUCGAUAUUUCAUCUUGAAACUGUGUGUGCUAGUGAGUCGAUCCAGGGACUAGCACUAUAUGAACAAAGAUCGAACCCUGUAAGGGGGCGGUCGCUUCAGAUGGUACCAGAGCAAUGUAUUGCAUGUAGGAACGUGACCCUAGCUUGGAUUAGGAUAUGACCAAACCUUAGGGUUAAGCAUACUUACUUCUUAUCCUUACUUGACCUAUAUAUACUUUUACUCCUUAUCCCUACCCGUCUAGAUCAUUGCUUUUACGUCUUACUCAUGCAUGUCAUAUUUGUUAAUUUAUUCUACCUUUACACUAAAUAUCAUGUCAUUGAACCACUAAUGCAUAUUUUCUUCUUGUUAUAUUUUGCCAUCCACCACUAUAAUCAUGUUGUCAUAUUACACUCAUAUUAUCAUGCCUUUCUUUUUCCAUUUUUUCAAUUCCACCCUUAAUCAUAAUUUUCGGCAUUUUUCUCCACCCUACUAUCUUUAUCUUUUACUUUACAUGCAUUCAACCUCUUGAUCAUGUCAUUGAUACUCCUCUACCUUUCCUUCUUUGUUUUCUAUAGAUGGAAAGCCCACCACCACCCUUUGGCAACGUUCCACCGUUCACUCGCGUCUACUACCCCUCCACCGACGACGAGCAGCCGUUCAGUGCCCCCUUAGCGGCACUGUGUGUGUCCCUCGACCUGCCACCUCCCAGGUUCAGGGGCCGCGUCGAGCCCGCCGUGCCCCAAGGAUGGCAGCCACGGUGGGAGAUUGAAGCAAAGGUCCGCGGGCGCGAGAUCACCCCAGCGACGCCCGACAUCACCUUCAUCUCCCGCUACCCCACCUAUGAGAAGGGCCUCCAGUUUGCCAUGCAGUGCGCCUUUGUGCAGGUGUGCCGGGAUUACCGGAACAAGCUUCCCGAGGGCUCCCCCUUCCUCCUUUUUGGAAAGCGGAACCAUGCAUGCUCGGCCGUGGCAAUAGCUGACAGCGAGGAGUUGUCCGAGGUGGCCACCCAAUUUGAAAACAUGGAGGCGAACAUCGUGGAUUCGGAGUCUUGCCUCGAUAAUGAGAUGACCAGGGCUGACAUAGCCGAGGAGUAGGUCAGCCAACUACUGGGGGAGAAGGCCCAACUGCAGGAGGACAAGACAGUGCUGCAGAAUACUGUCCUCAACAUGGGUGACGCCAUAGAGCAGCUGCAGUAUGAGAGGGAUCAGGCCCGCUACUACUGCGAACAGUUCAAGGCGUUCCUGACAGCCGCCGCCGCAGCCACACCCGCUCCCCCACCAGCCCCUACACCAGCGCCUCUUCAGACCCCACCUCCGCCUCAGGAUCAGGAGAUGGAGCCUCGGGAGGGAGUACAGACUUAGGAGGAGCCUCAGGAGGCUCAUGAGAUGGACACCCCUGCCUCCAACACCCGCUCCAAGAAGAGGGCGGACGGGGCCACACCUUUAGCCACACUUCCCUAGCCUUAGUUGGUGUCCACCAGACCUUAUAGUCUAUCCUAUUAAUCGUUCUGCGAGUUAGUCACUGACCAUACAGUCUAUGUGUAUGGCAAUGUAGUUCGGUUGCUUUAUUUCCGCACUUUAAUUAUGGGCAGUGUCCCGUCCUGAACAAGUUUGUGGUUUGUUGGUUUUCCAAAAAAAUAAUGAAUGCUUGAUUGUGUGAUUGAAAUAUGUCUGAGUUAAUGUUUCCUUGAGGGGCUUAAAUAUCUUUAGCUCUAUUGUAUCUAUUUUUCCUCAUCUAUGCUACCCUAAACAUAUACCUCCAAGACGCCCGAACCCCAACAACAAUGCUGAGCCCAACAAUGCCGAGGCAGAUGGGAAUGCAGCCACCAUGCAGCAAUUGUUGGUGGCUUAGACUCAGUUUUUCCAGGUGAUCACACAACAAAUGGUGGUGUGGGUCGGGGUGGCCCGAUCUUUCGAUGAGAUUGAUAACUCUCGAUUUGGGUAGGAGGUGACGUUGACGAUCCGACUACGGCCUAGGAGGCAGCGCCUUAACAAUCGAUACACCAACUCCAGAGGGUUAUUGAUCACGCGGGGGCACGAUCAACCUGACCACGAAGGUCUUUGUUCCUGCAAGCAACCGAAGAACAAGCAAGAACAAGAUAAAUAGCGGAUGCAAUCUGAAAUUGCGAAUAUACUAUAUCAAACCAAUGUCUCAACGAGACGAUAAGUGGAGUCCUGACGACGGUAAAACAGGUGGUCUAACCGACACACGCGAUUACACGAAAGUAGCAAAGAUGGCUAAACUUUAUCUAAUCAAAACCCAAGGCUCCUUAGGGGGGCUCAUGGGGUAUAUAAAGGAGGAGGGAGAGAUAUUUUCGUCCACCUUGAGUAAGGAGGCCGAAAUUCAACUCUAUCUCUAACUUUCCUAACAAACUACAACUCUUUAGGAAACAGAAAAACAGAUCCGUCAGCUUUUUUUGUCCGCCACGGUCAGCACGAGUCGAAUCUCUUGAUGGGGCUAGAUCCGUUGGAAAGGUCUUGUAAUUACCUUUCCAACAAGUACUUGUUUGCUUGAUUUGGACUCCGGAUGCGGCCUGGGUGAUUAAAACAAAUUCGGGUCUCCUGAUAGCUCGGACCCGAAUCGGAUUCAACUUUAAUUCGUGAUAUCUUUCUCUAGCAAGCUCCGAAUCACGUGCCGUUUGAUUUGUUGGAAAGUAGACUUGAUAGGCUUCCCUUUGAAUCUCCCUUUGCAGGCUAUCACACUUCAUCUUCACUUUGGACUUGUAAAGUUCAAUAAGAUGUCUACAUAAUAAGAUUACACAAGAUAGUAGCUCCGCCUCUUUGCAAGUAACAUAUUGGAAACAUUUUGUAAUUGAAUUCUCCUGAUUAUAAUUGUUAUUAGAUACACCAAUAAUUAGGGUUCUAAUGGUCGUAUCCAUGGUUAGCAUGUCCAUAUCAUCCUCCCUUUCUUGAAAGGAAAGCCGUCUUCGGCGUCGUUUAUGCUGAAAAUAUGCUAACAAAAGAGACAAGGUAUGCGCAUGGUAUAUGUAUAUAUCGUUAUUUUUAACUCCACUCCCAUGUUGCACAAUUAAUGUUUUAUAACACAAUCUCAUGAGAUAAUUAGUCACACAAUCAUCAUGAAUAUCAUUCCAGCAAGAAGAUUGACAAUAUGUUUUGCAUAUAUAAGUGAAACAAUAUCUUGUAUUUGGUUUGCACCGCUCACCAUUAUACCAUCCCAAGACUGGAAAAUAAUAAUUAAUAAUGUUACCCAAAUUAGUUACUACAAGAUGCUGAAAUUUAGAGCAUGUCAAAACACUAAUAUUCGAACAAUCGUGUAAAGAACUAAUUGGCAAAUAAUCAACACCAAUAUUGGAGGUUAUAUCAAAAUGGUUAAGCAUAUGCAACAUAUUAUUUUCUCUCAAAUCAAGAAAGUUAUCACAAGCAAUGCAACUCUGAUGCACCCAAAAUUUAUUGUUCACGUCAUGUUCUCCAAUUAAUUGAAUAGUGUAUUCAUGGGCAUUAGCAAAAGAUUUUGAAAUUGUUAACUCAGAACUUUUAUCCAUUGCAUGUGACAAAUAUAUAGGUGCAUCAAGUUUAAUAGAACACAAAGAAUUAUUAGGCGGAAUCAUAGGAAACACUUCUUCAUGUUUAAUUAAUUCAAUGCAACAUAAAUCAAAUUUAAUUAUCGCGUCACAAGUCUGUUCCAAAACAGCAGGUAACUCAUCACAUAAAUCAUUAUCAUUUGAAUCAAUGGGCGUGCUCAAAUCGGCAAGUAAAUCAACAGUUUUACAAGGGGUAGCAUGUUCAUCAGAUAUCUCAUUUAUUUCAACACACGUCAUAUUUAGUUCAGCAACACAAACCUCUGUAACAUUACCUUGUGGGCUCGCCUCAUUUGUAUUAUACCUUCUUUCUAACUUCCUCUCAGCUUCACAAGCAAGAUUAAGCAAACACAAUAGAGAGUCGUAAUCCCCAUAUUCAAUCACGUAAGAAAUUUCAAAAUUAAGCCCAUAAUAAAACCUAUCCAUUUUUCUUUGUUCGGUUUCAUCUAAACCAGAUCGCAAGGUUAAAAUUUGGAACUCAUUGUAGUAAUCAUCAACAGUUUUAUCAUCUUGUGUCAAACGUCGUAAUUUUGAACGCAAGUUAAAAGCAUAACUAAAAAGGACAUAUUUUUCUCUCAUGAUUUUCUUCAUAUCAACCCAAGUGUGGGGAAUUUUCUUUUCUCUAACUAUCUCAUUCCACCAAGAUAAAGCAUCAAAACGAAAUUUACUACUAGCAAUUUGGACCUUACGACUAUCUAGUACAUGGAAGCAUGUGAAUUGCUCAAUUAGAGCUAUUUCCCAAUCAAUAUAAGCUUCAGCAUCGUUAUUUCCAUCAAAGAAAGGUCCAAAACAAUUAUUGACAUUACAAGGAUUGCGAUAUACCUUUGCCUUGCCAAUGUCAACAAGAGACGAGGAGGAUGGAUGUGGUGAAAAACGCUCAUGUCGUUCACUUGAUAGCAUAGGCCUAUUUUCCAUUCUUCGUGUAAGUCCUGUCAUGGUUCUAGGACAAGGUAACUAAUUCUAAUUUUUGUUUGGCUUUUU
rnacentral:lncRNA from 1 species